CUAAACAUCACCCCUAAUGCUAUAAAACUAGUGGCUAUUUUGGUGGUAGCUUAUCAAGAGCUUUGGGGGGUAAUUCAUCAAUGGUGGUGGGUCGGUGGGUGGUAAUAGUAACUAAGAUUAACUAAGGUGAUAUGAUAUGGUAGUAAUAGGAGGGGCUCUAAAUUUUUAUCUGAAUGGCACUGCAUUUUAAAACAUUGGUGGUGUGGUUGGUGGUGGCUUGAUUGAUGCUGCUGCUGCUGCUUCUCUUCUGGAGGCCAGGGCAUCCUCUUUCUUCUCUUUAUGGUUUAAUAAAGCUAUCUUCUUGAAAAAUGAAAAAGAAAAGGAAAGUAAAAAAAAAGGGGGGUGACUGAAACUAACACUAUGCUGCAACUUCUCCACUCUUUUCCUAUAUUCCACUAUUCUCUUUUUCUUUGCUGCUAGUAUUCCUGCAAGGGGCAAGUGAUGGCAAGGACAGAGGAAAAGAGAGUAAGGCACCAUCAUUCCAAUGGGGGGUGAAAAGCAAAUGAUUCAAUACUAGGAAGCAUGGAGUUGAGAGCUUGAUAUAGACUUUGUGGAAAGGCAAGAGGACUGAGGUGCUUACUAGGAUUAGGCAGUAGUAGUAUUACUCACUUCCAUUCAGAACAACUUUACAUUCCGAUCGCGCCGUGAUCGGAGGCCAGCCUGCAUGCAUAUGAAUGAAUGAUAGCACUCAGCAAAUCAUGGCGCCCAGAUGCAUACUGUACUAAUUUGCAAUACUAAAAUAGCACUUGGGGCCAUACAUUAUUAUGAUGCAUACCUGGACAUGGGGAAGAAAUAAGGUUUUGGUGAGGGCAUGUCCAAGGCAGAAGGUAGGAGAUGGUUAGUGCCGCCAUUGCUGGCGCCAUUGUUGAUGCCAACAUAGGUGGCGCUACAACCAGUCGACGCGGUGGCGGAGAUCUCCGCCUCAGUGGGAGCGAAAGGAUCGCGAGCAAAUCCCGCGGACUUGGUCGGCGACGCAAACGGGCUGUCCGGCAGAUUAUGCUCCACACUGCCAAAGAGAGCAAGCACAAUGGGCAGAGGAAAAAAGAUCAGUUUGGUGAAAUGUUACUUGUCUGCAUUGCUGGACGAAAGCUAAGUGUGGCGAAAAUAACAAAUGAUUAAAUGAUGACGAUGAGACAAUAUGUUAAUCGCAAAAUUCCACCUUUGGUCACUGUCUGUGUUAGGGCUGGAGGACUCUCCGGUGGAUUCCUCCUUAUCGGCUCCGUUGACCGCCUUCUUGUGAGCAAGAAGGAAGCCGCUUCCCUUACCGAGCUCCCCUAUAAGCAAGCAAAUCCGCCAUGGUAAACAUUAGCAACACUGCAUCUGGCGCGGCAACAGGUGAAACGUCGUUCGGUCGGAUACACCAGGUCCUACCGGAAUCGGGAGGCGACUCGCCGGUCGCGUUGGCGGCGGUCUGAGAAGCGCUGAAAGGAUUGCCAAUGGGGGUCGGCGCCGCGGCGGCGCGCGACUUGAAGUCUAGCAGCUGCAGCCCCAUGAGGCGGCGGCUGUGGAGCUCGAUCGCCUGCUGCAGCUCGGCGGCCUGCUGCUGCUCCUCCAGCUUCCUCCUCAGCAGCAUCUCAUUCGCGCUGUUGGAGUGCUGCAGCAUUCUCGCACCUGACACCAUUACAAACAGACUCAUGCGAUUUCAGCAACAAUCAUUCACCCAAUCACCAUGAAGAAGAUGAUCGCAAAAGCUCACCGAGCUGGUGCAUGUCGAAGGGGUCUCUGGCAUCGAGUCCAGUUGGAGUAGUGCAGCUGGAGAAGUCCACCCUCUCGCCCGGCUGGUGCUGCUUCCUGCAAAGUAACAGCAAGUUACAAAUUGGUUAUAGGGGAUCAACCUAGAGAGGCAAUGUGGACUGUAAGUAAGCUCGGCUUGCCUGUACUUGUCGGGGACCUUGCCCUUCUCCUUGUAUGGCUUGACGAGCACGCGGGCGUCGCAGAUGAAGUGCGGGUUGCCCUUGGCGAGAAUCAGCUUCACCGUCUCCGGGUAGACGAAGGUGACGAAGCCGAACAUGCGCUUCUGCUGGUACGGGAUGCGAACGUCGUGGACGGGGCCGUAGAUGCUUCAAUUGAGAGGGCAUCAUCAGAUUAAAGCUAUGGCAUGGCGGUGACGGUGGGCGGUGGGAUUAUAGUAUACUACCUGAAGUAGUUGGAGACGUCCUCCUCGCGGAAGGUGCUAUCCGCCGGGAAGGUGAGGUAAAUCUGGCGCGAGCCGGGGUUCAUCAUGCUCGCGAAGUCGGCGCGCUCCAGCCGCGGCCGCCCCAUGAACUUGUGCGCCUCGUCGCCGCCUAGCAUCAGCGCCGCCGCUGCCGCCGCCCUGCAAAUCGACGGAAUCGGAGCUAAGUUAAAGGGAUACUGGUACUCCAGGAGGAGCUCGGAGGUGGAAAAAGUUGGCACCUCUGGCUCUCGUUCUGCUGCUGCUGCUGCUGGAGGAGCAAGCUCAAACACUUGGUGGCUGCGGAUGGCGAGCCGGGGAGUGAGCCGGUGGGCGAGUAGGGGAAGGCGGCGGCGGCGAGGCGCUGGGACUUGGAGCGGAUGAGGAAGUCCUGACACUGCUGCUCCACGGCGGAGGGGUCCAUCUUGCCGGCGGCGUCGUCGGGGAGGCCGCCGUGGACGAACCGGCAAGCGCUGCCGUUCUUGCAGUAGCCGCGCGCGUAGUAGAGGCACGGCUUCCAGCCGAGGCCGUCGGCGCCGCCGAGGCAGAGCUCGCUGACCGACGCGCUCCGGCGGUGUCCGGGGCCACCGUUCGCCCACCCUAGGUUGUAGGAGAAAAGGCCGCCGUCGCCUCCGCCGGGGCUCCGGCACUCGCCGCCGUCGAACAUGGGCAUCUGGUGCCCCGCGGGGACGCCGCCCUCGUUGAGGAACGCGAGCUGGUCCUGCAGCUGGAGCUCGUCCAUGAGCGGGUCGCCGCCGAAGAAGGGCGAUGGCGGGCCCCCGCCGUUGGCCGGGCUGAUGAGCUCGUCGCCGAGGCCGACCAUCUCCUCCCCGGCGCCAUUGCUGAUGCUGUUGUUCCUCGAAAACACCGGGGGAGGCGCCCACGAGGAGGGGGAGGACACCGAGAGCGGCGAGGGCGCGGUGCCGCAGCGCCCGGAGUUCUGCCGCGAGAGCAUGAAGGGCGAGUGGGCGGCGGCCGCGGCCGCCGCCACGGAGGUGGGCGUCCCGGGCCCGGACGCCGGGAGGAGGCCGAGCUCCUUCCUGGCCUUGGCCAUGACGGUGUGGAGCAGCGCCUCGGGGCCGAAAGCGAGGCGUAUCAUCUCCUUCUCGCCAUGGUCCUGGAUGAGGAGGAAGCCCAUGAUCUUGGCUGCGUGGUCCGGGUCGAGCGCCUGGAUCCGCGAGAACACCACCUUGGUCGCCUCGUAGGCGUCCAUGGCGAGCUCCACAGCAAGCAAGCAAUCGAGCUUCUUCGUCCUCCUCCUCCGCUUUCUUUACCACAACACUCGUUGCUUCUUGGCUUCUUGGCUUCUUGCUCCGCUGCUGCUGCUGAGCUGUGUUCUAUUACCACCACUAGAGUGUGCAGCAAAGCAAGCUCAAAGAAGAAGAAGACGAGAGAGAGAUCAGUGGGAGCGGCGCCACUGAGGCAGUGAAGAGCAGAGGAAGAGCUCCAUUUUCCCCCAGAGGAAGAAGAGCUCGCUCGCAGCCGAGCUAGAACAAGAAGCUAAGCUAUGGCUAUGUAGUAGAAGUAGUACUCGUACUAGUGCGCUGCAUCCCUAUCGAUCUAUACUACUCCUUUCUUUACUUGGCUUGCCCCUUGCUUUUGUUGGGGCCGGGGGAGUGACAGGUGAUGCCACAAUUUCUCCAGGGUGUUUUUCGCGAAAAUGUUUUUGCAUUGUAAUUUUGAGCCUUCUUUCAGGGUGUUUUUGGUGAAAUUUUUUGUUUUUGCUGUAAGUAAUUUUGCUUUUGUUUUUGCUGCCUGAUGUGAGGAGGAUGGGUGCGUGGAGCGUUGGAUAGAUCUGGAUCUCCGUGGACCCCAUUUUUAUACAUGUCGAGCUCCAGCUCCAGCUCCUCCAGCUGAGCUCGGCUCGAUCCGCUCCAGUGCACUCCAGCCUCUAGCUCCAUCACUCUCUUCCUCUUACUGUACACUGGCAGUAGUAGUACGAGUAUUUACGUUGUACGAGCAAGAAGAUGGAGAUUUAAUUGCGCCAGUCUACUGCAGGAGGAUCCGUACGGUAAUAAAAGGGGAAUACGAGACGAGUAUUUACGUUGUACGAGCAAGAAGAUGGAGAUUUAAUUGCGCCAGUCUACUGCAGGAGGAUCCGUACGGUAAUAAAAGGGGAAUACGAGAAUAAUGAGGUAACAAAAUAGGGGAAUUAGUCUGGUUUAGUUAUCAAUUUUUUUUCCAAAAACAUAUGUAUUAAAUAUAGAUAAAAAUAAAAAGUAAUUACAUAGUUUACAUGAAAAUUGCGAGACGAAUCUUUUAAGUCUAAUUAGUCCAUAAUUAGCCAUAAGUGCUACAGUAACUCACAUAUGCUAAUGACGUAUUAAUUAGGCUAAAAAAAUUCAUCUCACGGUUUUAAGAAGAGUUAUGAAAUUAUUUUUUCAUUCGUGUAGAAAACUUCUUCCGACGUCCGAUCAAACAUCCCACGUCAGAUACAUGAUUUUGAGCUUUUUGGUGAUGAGUGACACGGCCGUAAUAUGGGGUGCUGACCGGGAGGGACCCACACGAGGUGAGGGGAGCGUUUCUCGAGGCUGCAGCAGCCACCGUCCCGUUCCUCUUUGUCCUUUCUGCCCACUGCGCUGCCGCUGCUGCUGCAAAAAAACCGCAGGGCCGCUGCAGCGAGAUGAGAUGAGGGCCUUUCACGAUAAGAUGGCACACUUCCCCAUGAGAAAUCAUAUUUAUCGACAUGAGGUUGGAUUAUCUUAAACCCCGUCUCUGUCCCCAGGGAUACUGUUUCACACGCUGCGACGCCAUUUGCCUCUCUUUUUUUAUGCCUUCAAACUGCGGGUUUCCCCGUAAGAAUGGCCUUGUCUCACCAUUUUUUUAACUGUAGAUGGGUGUCUCUCUGAAAAAUGAACUGCUACAGUGGAUACGAGAUGGCGAUCAGAAGAGAGAGUUCAUUCAGAUUUCAGACAAAAGAAAAAAAGAAGGAAAGCAUAAUCCAUCUCAACUCUUCACGCGAGUUUGAGUUUAGUACUACUAAUGAGGGAUUAGGAAGUGCAUAUGAUCCGGUUGGAAUUGGAAUUAUGCAGGGGUGGUGUGGGUUGAGGGGGGAGGAAUUGCAAAAAAUGCAAUGGCUGCGUCUGAUUUCCCUGUCAAACAAACACGGUCGCUUUCGGUCCGUCGCCACAGAAGCGCGUCCUAUCAUGCACAAAUCCAAUAAACAAAUGACGGGGGAUAAUUUCGACAUCACUUUCCCCAGGGACCCACUGCACGGGUGGGGCCCCACCUGUUUUGUUUCUUUGUUGUUGGGUGGACGACGCUGCUGUCUUUGUGAUCAGGGCACUCUAUUUCCAUUUCCAUUUCCCUCCCUCGAGUAAAUCGGCUUUACAUGCAUGAUACGCAGUUGCCACGUCAACCACAGCAGGUGACAUUACCAUUUCAGCAAGGCCAGGGCGUCUAUUGUGAUCAAUUCAUGUAGGGCCUUAUCGUUUGGCUUUUUUCUAAUAAGCUAAGCUUAUUAGAGAAUAAAUAAAACUUUUAUAUAUGUGUUCUUGGUGACUUAAAAGCUAAUACUGAAAAAAAAACUACGUUAAAAAUAUCUCAAAAUUAAUGUCAAAAUUAAGUUUGAAAAUUUAAAUUAGCUUUUUCUUUGAGUGAAUAUGCCAUUCGAUGGGAGCUGUAGUACUUCAGUACUAUUGUUCUCUUGCUCCCGAAAUAUAGCAGCUACUCGUUUAACAAUGAAUCUGAAUAGAAAAGAAAGACGAUUGCAUAGUAUCAAACCACGAGAACAUAAGAUAUGGUGUAAGCUUACAUGAAGAAAAACUGAUAUAAUCUGUUGUCGUACCAGAGCCGCCUUAUGCCCGUGUCACCGUCAUUCUCCCGACGAUCUCCUGAUUAUGACAUUAUCCUAUUUCUUAAUCAUGCGAUCUCAAUUCGUGAUUAUCACAUCGUAGCUCACUGACCUCAAUGGUCGAGGAGAAGAGCAAUGAUGAGUGUGAGGUUAGCUCUUCUCUAUGAAGGCCUAUGAGCAUACUCCUAUCUUUUGGAUGUUGCUCAUGUAGAUUUAAGAUGUACCGGAUUCAAUAUCCUGAUUUUUAAUGUGUGGCUAUCCUAUUGGGUGAACCUGUAACACUUAAAUAAACAUGUGUACAUUUUUACAAUUUCCACCUUACCUUAUUAUUCAUCAUUUAAUCAUUAUCCUAGCUCUCAAUCUCUAUUACGCCACCCGCACACUAGGUACUAUCCCUUAUUUUUCAACAACGCUCCUACAUCAAACCAUAACAGUUUAUAAUUUGAUCUUCAAAUCGCAUGAUUUUCAUGCUCCCCUCCUUUUUUUCCAUGUCGCAACAUUGUAUUGAUGGCCUUGGAAGAAUAACCAUCAAUCGGUUAUCAUCGUCUCUGCACCAUGUUAAUCUGUUUCUAAUUGUCUCAUCAACUGUUUGUUGCUAACUUUCUUGUUGCCUCCAUUGAUCCAAGGCACAUCCUUUUUCUACUAAUCUACUAAUCUAUAAUGCCACAUUUCUUCCCAUCAUCACUUGCGCAAACUAUAAGGUCAGUGCACAUAUGUGGCAUUCGAUCAACCCAUGAUAAUAGAAGAUUCUCUAGCAGCUUGGCUCGGAGUGGGGCCGAACGAGAUUUGUAACCUAAACUGGGCACACGCUCUUUGUCAGAAAAGCUAUCGUGCGGCAUGAGUGAGAAUAGCGCGGCCACGCUGUGGGGGUCGUGGCCAUGCGCUUUCAUGGCCUUGUGCAACGCCUCAACUCUACACCCCAUGCGAGGCUACAACGGUCAUCAUUGGAGAGAGUAGUUGCCGCACCCGCUCGAACCCUAGCCAGCAAGCUUGUCGUUCUCCUCUCCACGCCGCUAAGCUCAUCGGCCUGUCUCCCCGAUCUGUGCUAGAGAGGGACGCCACAUUGAUGUCUAAGGUGAGAAGGGAGAGGCCGUCGUGAAUGGCCUAACCCAAACUCUAGGUAUUUGGUGUCGGUCAUGAAAAAUAGAUAACGAUAACUAGUUUGAUGAAAGAGGAUAUGUGUCUAUAUUUUAUUAUGUGUUUACUAAUUACUCUACUUUAGAAUAUAAGAUUUUAAGCUAUAUAAAAAUAGUUAUACUUUAAAACUGAAGGAGUAACUAAGUAAGGUUAGAUUAGACUAGAUGGGGAAAGGUAGUAAAUAAACAAGGUCGGGUACCACGUUGAUGCAACUGGUGGACUUUUUAUCAACCCGGUUAGCUUUUGGCUCAUCUUUUGGCGUUCCACCGACUUUUGUGUGCGCACGCGCGUGCCUGUGCGUGCGCCUUUGCAUGGCAUGCCAUGCCAUGGUGCGUGUGUUUGUGCGAGCGAAGGCUGCAGGUUUGCUACUACCAAUCUACCAUGGCAAAUUUGGCAUGACGGAACGGAAGCGACAGAUAAUACAGAGGCCACACACAGCAGAUACUACAGAUUGCUCGCCUUUCGCCUUUCGCUCGCUUUUGUUGCACCGUCGUUUUCAGCCGCAGCAGUCGCAGCUUUGUUCUUGCCUACUGUACGAGUACUACUCCACUUCACUUCCUCAGCUUCUGCUUCUACGUACUGUAGUACUAGUACCUCGUAUACUAGUAUAGAAGAUUUUCCAUACGAAUUCUCUCCCAAAUCGUUUUCGUCUCCACCAAACGGAAGAAUCCAAUUUAACACCACCCGGAUGCUCCAUCGGCACGGCAGGUAGCAGUAAUUACUAGCAUAGCUAAUGGAAGUACUCUUGGGUUUUAACCUCUCACUGUCAUCAAGAAUCCCUUGACUCGUUUCCUAAGCGUACGGGCUUUACCCUGACCGACGAGUCAACAUGCAUUUACCUCCCUGUUUUGGCGGUGAAAAACUCUGAAUCAGGACUAGUAGUAACAUCUUCUUCGUCAGAAUGUCGGACAUUCGGAGCGGUCUCACUGUUAACUGCUUGUGUCAUCGGAGCAGGUACAAUAACAGACUAUAAGUAAGCUAUAAACAUAUUUUAAAGAAAUAAAAAAAAGAAAGAAAAGAACAGCGGGCUACAGAUCUGUAACCAGCUGCAGCACAGACUCCAAGACGUAAUAUGUGUAUGAUAGGUGGGACCAGAUAUUAAUACUAUCAUAAGCAACUAUUGUAUGAAUUGACUAUUACAUUGGCUAUAGAUAAUUUAGAGCUAGUAGUAGACUACACUAUUAAACUUGCUCUUAGCACAUAGUAUACUGCUUGUCUGAUUCAAUUUUGUGCUGGCGAGAGCGUCCGUAGAAAUGUUGAAUACUCCUGCUACUACGACUCCUAUACAAUGGAACUGAUGAGAGAUAGGAUCAUUUGUCGUCUUGUUCAGAUUCACUCUACCAACAUGUUUCUUUUGAGUUUUGAACAUGACCAGUAAUCACUGUACUGUAGUGCGGGGGUACUAUAGCCACUUAGCGUGAGAAUUAGCCUAACCAAUGCAUGGAACAGACAAAACAAAUCAAUACGGUAUCAUUGGGCAUAUGUUGUCUCGGUCGUCGAAAUUUCACCAACAGUUCGCAGGAUUUAAUCCCAUUCUGACCAGAAUCCUAAGAUCAAGUUUAAUAGUAUAGCUAAUUAUUUGCUCCAAAUCACAUAUAGUCAAUUUAAUAGACAAUUCAUACAAUAGUUACUUAUAAGAGCAGGUACAAUAGCAGGCUAUAAGCCAGCUGCAAAUAUAUUUUAAGGAGAUAAAUGAAGAGAGAGAAUAUCAGCGGGCUACAGAUUUGUAGCCAGCUAUAGCACGGACUCCAAGACACAGUAUGUGUAUGACAGAUGGGACCAGGUAUUAAUAGUGUAGUAUGUAAUUAGUUGGCUAUACUAUUAAACUUGCUCUAAAUAAUUAAUGUUUGGUCCCACCUGUCAUACACGUGUAUCUUGAAGUCCGUGCUGCAUCUGGCUACAAAUCUUUAGCAUGCUGCUCUUAUCUCUUAUCUUUUAUCUCCUUAAAAUAUGUUUAUAGUUGGCUUAUAGUCUGCUAUUGUACCUGCUCUAAGUGAAGUAGUAUAAUUCCACACUUGAACCAGAAUGAAUUAAAUAUUUAAAAAGUGAAGAAGUUAAUUUUAAAAAGUUUUCUACGAAAUCUCUUCUUUCUAUAAAACUAAUGUACACUAAUGACCGAUAAACAUGCAAAUAUGGUAUUUAUUACCACUCCUAAAACCUACAUACAAGCAUAUCACAUCAACCCAUUAAAACACACAAAGCUUAACAUGCAAGUAUAUAGUAAUUAUAUCCAUAAUUUAUUUCUUUCUAAAACUAAACAUAUACAUGAUAAAUCAUCAUUCUCAAAUCAUUUUUAAAAUAUUUCAAUUCAAAUCAUUUCAUCAUUUCUUCAUUAUAUAACAUAUAUUUGCAGCAAAGCGCAGGGCAUCACCUAAUAUAUACCAAUGAAGAAAUUUUUAGCAAGGAAAUAUAGGGUGUGUUUAGUUCACGUCAAAAUUGGAAGUUUGGUUGAAAUUGGAACGAUGUGACGUUUCGAUGUGAUGAAAAAAUUGAAAGUUUAAAGAAAAAUUUUGGAACUAAACUCGGCCACAAUACCAUUAGGAAGCGUGCAUGCAAUAAUCAAUAAGAAAAAAAAAUGAACAUGACCUUAGACCGGAGCAUGGUAAUUCCAUAAAAAUUUUUGAAACUCAAACGAGUCUCACACAUGGUUCGCAAAAUCAUUCACUGAAUACCACUCCGGAGUGGUCUUGUCUAUUUUUAUGAAAACCAUAAACUUAAACAAAUGUUAACAAAAUUCUAAAUUUUAUUUGAUUUUUUAAAAAUUGAAAAGAUUUACCAACUGGUUUGUCAGCUCGAUCCACAACGAAGUCAACGAAAACCAGAAAAAAAAAGCGGUUCUCAUCGUUUUUUUUGUUUUUUUAUAAUCCUUGGUUCCCAAACACCUGAUCGAAAUCGAAUUUCUACUAUGGAUCAUAUAGAAUUUUCAGAAAUCCUACAGGGGAUUUGUUUCCGGGGAGAUUGAGAAAUUGUGGAGGGGAGGAGCUUUCAUCAAGGCAGGCAGAAAAGUUUGCUCCUCCCAGUUCGAAUGAUGGAUGGAUAGUCACAUGGAGGAAGCGAGUUCUCCGGAUCCCUUGUCGUCACCAACUGCGUGGUCCCUCCUGUGGCCGCCGUAUCAGUCCAAGAGUGACUCCAACAGCAGCAGCAACGUCGUCCUGCUUGGCCGGUUGCAGUCACCACCGCUGCUGAUUUCAGUCCAGCUCACCACCACCUUUCCUCUCCCCGUUUCUUCCUUCAAAUCAGCCUACUGUUCGAAAACGACCACCAAAUUUCCCCGAAAACAACAACAAUCUCCCGGAUUGUUUUGUUUCGCACGGAUGCAUGGCUGCACAACUUCCAUCAUGACCUGUAUGAUGGAUCAUAAUGCAGGUUUGUGUUUGUACCGAAAACAUACACUUGAUUCUGACCCAAAAAAAAUCUCUAGGAUUUUACUCCUAUGUACAAGUCCAUUCGCCUUAAAAUAAACAACUUUAAUAUAAGAUUUGAUAUAUCAAUCUGAAUAGAUAUAUGUGUUAAUUUAGAAUUGGGGAGAUACUGAAGAUAGCACUGUGGUAAAAAUAAAAUGGAAAUCUUAGUGCUGGAUACACCCAGUAUGUAGUAUCUCUUGUUGCUGUAGGACAUGGAGCAUAUGCAGAGGAUGGACAGGACACGUGCAAGAUGGUUGUGUAAUGAAGUAAUAGAUGCUGCAGUUAAGGAGCCUGGGCUACUGCAAAGGACGGUGUUUUGGAGCAACACAAGGGAGCACAGGGUAGCACUGCCUCCUCCUCCUCCUCACUUGCCAUAAUUUUGCCAUUGCCAUGUCCAUUGCCAUUUGCCACAAUCUUCAAUUCCCCAAAAUUUUAGCACAUCAGAUUCACCUAACUACUACUACGGCUCCUACCCACUUGCUCAACUGAAAGCAACUGCACCGGCAACCAUCACUGUAGCUACUCUACCUUGCAAGAGACCAUGUUGUACACGCAUAUUCUACGACUAUAUGGUUGUCAGCCACUAUUUGCUGCUAGCAUAUUACCUUUGGUUUUUUCUAUUUGACGUUGAUUUGUUAAAAGACGAACUAACUACUAUCAAAUACUCAGAGACGAAGAGAGUAUGAUUUAUUCAUCUAAGUAGAGAAAUCUCUAAAUAGAGACACUUCUUUUUAGAGAAGGGUAAAAAUCUCUGGUUCUUUUUUUUAUGGUACAGAAGGUUAUCUGCAAACAAAAUUUACCGUACUUGCUUAAUGCCACUACCUCCCUCGCAACAAUACGGCUGUGUUUAGAUCCAAAGUUUAGAUCCAAACUUCAGUACUUUUCCAUCACAUCAACCUGUCAUACACACAACUUUUCAGUCACAUCAUCUCCAAUUUCAACUAAAAUUCAAACUUUGAAUCCAACUAAACACAGCCUACUUUUUUUUAAGUCUAUCGCACUUGUCCCACGAAGACUUUACUACCUCCGUCCCAAAAUAAGUGCAGCUGUGGAUAUCCGUGCCCAACGUUUGACUGUCCGUUUUAUUUGAAAAAUUUGUGAAAAAUUUAAAAAUAUUUAAUCACACAUAAAAUACUAUUCAUAUUUUAUCAUCUAAUAGCAAUAAAAAUACUAAUCAUAAAAAAAUUUUAAAUAAGACGAAUGGUCAAACGUUGAACGUGAAUAGUACAAAACUGCACUUAUUUUAGGACGGAGGGAGUAUCUUUUAGAGUAAUUAAUACAUUUAAAUUUGUUAAAAGUGCACAGUAUUACAGUCUUUUCAGCUUUAUAUCUAUAUGUGUGAGAUUAAAAAUGAAGUAUUUUUGGGAGCGAGAAAGUAUAUGAUCAAAGUCCUUACUACCCUUUUAAGAGGAUUUUGCCAUUCUCUUCAUUGAGUAUAGAACCUAAUUUAUUACUACUAAGAGGGAAGCUAGCUAUAACUUUAGCUACAACCAUAUAGUAGCUACUCCAUUCGUUUUAUAAUGUAAAAUUUUCUAACAUUGCUCACAUUUAUAUAGAUAUUAAUGAAAAAACACACACAUAUAUAUUAAUGAAUCUACCAAUGCAAGAAAAUCUUACAUUGUAAAACGGAGGAAAUAGUAUUUAUUUAAGUUAAUCAGACUGGUCUAAUCUUAUACUACUAGGGCUGCGUUCGCAUGUCCUGAUGGGAACUCAUUCCCUCCGCACGGAAAACAGAGUGAUCCAUUAGCACGUGAUUAAUUAAGUAUUAGUUAUUUUUUUUCAAAAAUUGAUUAAUUUGAUUUUUUUUAAAAUAACUUUCGUAUAGAAACUUUUUUAAAAAAACACACAGUUUAGCAGUUUGAAAAACGUGCGCGUGAAAAAACGAGGGAGAGAGGGUCGGGAACGAGGGGUGUCGAACACAGCCUAAAAAAGCGUUGCUGGCAACCAAAUAUUCCUCACUCACUUACGCCGAGCCCUUCUACUACUAUGCAUGUUUUUUUUUAAAUCGAAUUAGCCUUUUUGGCGCCGUGAGAACACUGCUCUGGUCGGCACCAAUUGCCUGGGGACCAUUACUGCUGUUAAUUUGAUCGUGCUCCGAUUUGGUUUGGUCGCUGUUAAUUUAAUUGUCACUUAGUUUCCGGUUGACCAGAUCCAUCUAACAUUUGGGAUUCAAAGCUUCUGUAGGCUUUCUUUUAGGAAAUGGAAAGGGCUUAUCUAGGCUUUGCACCAUACAUAAAGAUUUGGCUACCUAUUAGCUGCGAGAAGUAGUUGCACUGGUGGUGCCUUAUUACUAGUUUACUACUCUUUCUUUUUUCAUGGGGUAAAGCUUUUAUACUGAGUUCGUUUAUUGACUUUCCCAACUCCAUCCUAUGUUUUACGCACGCACAUGCUUUCGAAACUACGAGGGUACAUUUUUUUUAAAAAAUAAUCUAUACGAAAGUUGUUUUAAAAAAUCAUAUCAAUAUAUUUAAAAAAUACUCAAGCUAAUAUUUAAUUAAUUACUCCCUCCGUCCCACAAUAUAAUGGAUUUUGAGUUUUUGCUUGUAACGUUUGACCAUUCGUCUUAUUCAAAUUUAUUUUGCAAAUAUAAAAAACGAAAAGUUGGGCUUAAAGUAACAUAGAUAAUAAAGUAAGUCACAAAUAAAAUAAAUAAUAAUUUCAAAAUUUUUUGAAUAAGACGAGUGGUCAAACGUUAUAAGAAAAAACUCAAAAUCUCUUAUAUUAUGGGACGGGGGGAGUAUAUGCUAAUAAAUCGCUCUGUAUUAUAUAUGCAUGCGAGGGGUUAGUUUCCAACUUCAACGAACACGGUUACACGGCCUUAAAAAUGAUGGUGAGGUGACCAAGAAGGGGGUGCAGUAACCCAACUGGCGAAUCAUUUGCACGGAUCUCUCAAGGAUAUUUGGCUUCAGGAGGUUCGCUAUUCAGGUUGGCAAACAGCAAACUGUAAGAUUCAGUAUCACUGGAAUAGUCAGGGUAUGUUUUUUUUUCCGGGAAGCAUUAUGCCGUUCGAGAUUAGUGUACGUUUUUAGGCGAGUUUACCCCUUGUAAAGUGGGGUUCGUUUCUAUUGAAAAUGAAGUUGAAGUUAAGGCACGGAAAAUAAAAAAAACAUUAUUACUGCAUAAUUAACUGAAUUUUAAUUAUUACCAAUCCAAAAGAGGAUUUAUCUAAUAUUUUAAAGAAAAAGUUUCCGAAUGAAAUAUACCGUUUAGCAAUUUAAAAAACGUGCUGAUGAAACCAAGGUAAAAUAUGUAUGUUAGUCAGAAAAGAAUGGGAACUGCUUGUGUAGUUUCCAAAGUGAGAGAUUUCAAAGAUAUUUAAUAUGGGUAAAACAUGAAAUAGAUAUCCUAAUUAAUUACUCUUGAUAAAUGAAAUUAUGUCAAUAUGAUAGGACACUAUAAUAAUUAUCCGUUGGCAAAGUAGAAUUAUGUUGAGGGAAACCGAGCUUAAGAUGUCUGACAAAUAGAUAUGCCCGACAUGAUUUAUCCUGCGGAAUGGCAGCAUGAGAAGUUAGAAUUGCUCUUCCCCAUUCCAAAUUCAUGAAUUGGCUGGUCGAAUCCACUUGGAAAGUUAGUAAAUAUAUCUGCAGUUGUAUAUAGUCAGUAGUUAGAUGGACAGGAGCAUAUGAUUGAUGCAACAAUUCUGUUCCGAGAACCUUGUUUAGAUAUACAAACACAAAUGAUCCCACAAGUGGGGUUGAUUAGGUGAUUCACCAUGGUCAUGGACCCAAAAGAGUGGCUCAGACAAAUCCUCCAAUCGUUAUGUCGAUGCUAGAUUCUACACAUACAUAUCUGCCGAUUGAUUCCUCCUUUUGCAUGCUUAUUUUAUAAUAGAUAGAUUAAUCAAGAACCUGUCACUGUUGCGACGUUCUCUGUUCGAGAGCGACAACGGAUGAUCCAGCUCGAUCUCCUCCUCUUCCUGCUGAUGCAGCUGCUGGUACGUAUGCAAGCUCAGUGAUGCAUGCAUGGGAUGAAUGAUUAGUAUAGCUAGGAGUAUUAAUUAUUAUGAUUAGUAGUAAAUUAAUUGUGCCAAUCAUGGGUGUGAACUGCUGUUUGGUUCUUGGCUAUAGCUAGCUCGUAAUUAAGUGAUGAGAGCAUGGUUGUUGCUAAGGCCCAGUUUAGAUGGAAAAAAAUUUAUUUUGAGGUGUCACAUCGAAUAUACGGACACACAUUUAAAGUAUUAAACGUUGUCUAAUAACAAAAUAAAUUACAGAUUCCGCCAGAAAACUACGAGACGAAUUUAUUAAGCCUAAUUAAUCUAUCAUUAGCAAAUAUUUACUGUACCACCACGUUGUCAAAUCAUGGCGCAAUUAGACUUAAAAGAUUUGUCUCGCAAUUUACACGUAAACUGUGUAAUUGGUUUUUUUUCUAUAUUUAAUAGUCCAUACAUAUAUCCGAACAUUCGAUGUGAUGGGUGAAAUUUUUUUGUUUUGGUAACUAAAGAGGGCCUAAUUGCUAAGUGCCAAUUUGUCGACAAGAUAUAUAAUUUGGAGGAGACGCAGACGACAAGAGAGAGGACUAAUUGAAAGGCCAGAUGGGGAGAAGGACAGAUGGAUGGCUAGAAUUGUAUAGUUGUGUAGCUAGAUGAAUGGAUGGAUGGAUAUGCCACGACCUGACGCGGGCUAGCUACAACGCAACUUGUUGGUCGUGUUGCUAUCAAAUGGACGGCGACUCAUCAUCAUACGGUCGCUGCUUUAGUUUUAGUACUAGUACUUGUACCAGUGAUUACAACAAUUCAGUUCGAUUCCCGCCAGAAUUUUGUUUGACAUUCAUCCAUCCAGUACUGCUUGGAUACAAAGCUUCAAGCAGUACACAUGUUUAAUUUAUAGCCGAUUAAGCACAGAAUUUUGUCCAUAAGACUACAACUCCUAGUUGGUAGUACAUUGCUUCAUGAAAUUCAAAAUUUAUGUAAUUUACUGAGGGACACUACAAAAUCAUGUCGCUGCUGAUGCCUGAUGGACACCACAAAAUUUAUGUAAUGGUUGUAGGACACCCGAGAUAAUACUUUAUCAUUUUUGGCAAAACUAGGGGAGAGAAGUCUUAAAACGAUAAAAUUACCCUCAGCCCUAUCCACUUCAGUUCCAUCAGGACCAUCACCUGCUUCCCAGCACUGCUUGCCAGCUCUCGCUGCCACCGCCGUCGCCUAGGGUUAGGGUCUUUGGAUGGGGAUUAGGGUAGGGUGCAUGUGGGUAUAGGGUUCGGGGUUGCGAUGGUUCAAUCAGGCUAAGGGUAAUUUUGUCUUUUUAAAAUUUCAACUCUUUAUGUCUAAAUUUGAUAAAAUAUUGCCUCGGUGUCCUACAGUCAAGUAUACAAAUUUUAUGGUGUCCAUUAGCAGAUAUGCGAUUUUGCAAUGUCUUCCAGCCAAUUACACAAAGUUUAGAUGUCCUUAGCAAAUUUUGCUAUCAAUGAAACAAGAGGUCGGGAAAAUACCGAUGGUGUAAUGGUCAAUAGUGUGUCCACAAAUUUACCAAUCAGAGUUCAAUUUAUGAUAUACAUGACUAUAUGAGAGUACAUUUUUGAAAAUUCAAAAAGUCAAAACUCUAGCUCAAACCAUCUCAGCCGCCGUCAUUGUUGUCGAGACCCUGCUGCACUCGAGACUGACAGUGAUGGAUCCGUGAGGGGGUUGGGCACUCCUGAGGCGGUGGAGAUGCCCCAAGGAGGCAACACCGCUAGUAAUGUCGAUGCACAUCAUUGCCGCCGUCAACGUGCGCCUCUUUUGCCGACCUCCUCACGCACCGCUGGACCCGCUGCUAUCCUCAAGUGCUUCUGCCAGCAUUAAAUUUGACUAUUUGACCCUUUUUGAAAACUAAUUUUACAAAUGAACCGCGGCCAAAACUUAUUUGAAAAACGACCCUUUUGUUUAGCGCCAAAUCGUAUGGUUUAGCACUGUACCAUUUGGUGUUGAACAAAAGAGUCAUUUUUGAAAUAAGUUUUGGCCACGUUUCAUUUGCGAAAUUAGAUUUCGGAAAGGGUCAAAUUGUCAAAUUUUGUGUUCUGCCAGCCUAUAGAGUUUGAGAGACAAAGAUGAUGAGGGGCGAAGGAGAGAGUAAGAGAGAGGGAGAGUGAGAGGGAGAGGGAGAGGAAGAGGGAGCAGCGGAGGAGCCAUUGUUGUUGUCUCUCCGUCUGCUGGGGUCAGAUCCGCCCGCCGUCACUGCCCUAGGUGCCACCGCUCCCGUCGGCCUUGGGUGAGGAGAGGAUAAGAGGGAGAGAGGGGAGUGGCCGAGUAGAGUAAGGAGGUUUUUUAAAGAGAUAGGUGAGAAGAGAAAAUAAGAGGGAGUGAGGACGAGCCUUGUGUUAGGCAUGUUUAUUAAGAGGUCUAUCUGUGAAAAUAGAUUUAUUUUCAUAGACAGGUCUCUUAAGAGAGUCACAUGCGAAAAUCAUUAUUUUAGCGGGUCUUAACCAAACAUUAUUCAUUAAAAGUACACAUUUACGGGUAUGUUUUAUGCACGUGUACUAUGUGCCUUUCGUGUAAUUGGGAGAAAAGAAAAGGAGGUUUUGCGGGCGUGAGCGUGCAUCCCAACCGGACGUGCCAUUGCCGGCUGGUUGCCGGUGUACAUUGCACGCAUGCUGCCGAUGUGACAGGCCCACGUACCGUCCAUACAUACAUACAUGCAGCAAUGCAACGUUGGAGCCUUGCAUCUGUUGCUGGUUGUAUUGCAUUAUAUGCACACUAGCUAGCAUGGUCCACCAGGUUGCACGCAACAAAGCAGCUGCAGCCUGUGCAACAACCAACCUAGCUAAGCUACUAGCUACAACUGAUUCACUUGCGCCCGUGACUGAUAAAACCAUAGCAUCGUAUGUGCGACGAAAUCUAAAGCUUUUCUCAUAUCGCAAUGUCGAAUAUAUGAUGUGCAUGGAUGCAGAUGCAAAUGCAAUGUAGGGCCUGUUUAGAUCUCACCUCAAAAUUUUACAUCCUAUCACAUCGAAUGUUUGAACACCUGUAUGAAAUAUUAAAUAUAAGCUAAAAAAUAACUAAUUACACAGAUUGCGACUAAUUUGCGAGACGAAUCUUUUAAGCCUAAUCGCUCCACGAUUUGAUAAUAUGGUGCUACAAUAAAUAUUUGCUAAUGACGGAUUAAUUAGGCUUAAUAAAUUCGUCUCGUGGUUUACUGAUGGAUUAUGUAAUUAGUUUUUUUUAUUAGUGUCCAAACACUCCAUACAACACCCUAUAUAAUAUCCGAUGUGACAUGUUAAAACUUUACACACAUGCAUUUAAACACCCCCGUAGUGGCUGGAUGCUGCCCCGGCCGUGUAAUGUGUUUCGUUUGCUUCAGACCGGAUCCAAUAUAUCCAUCCACAUCCAACAAUUUAUAAGCCUAUGACAGAGUAAUGUGUGUUGUACGGGCAGUGAUGUUAUAAAGUCACUGGGCUCAUUAAGUUGCCGGUCUCUCUGGGUGAGACAUCGUCAUUAACAAGCCAUUCAUCACGCACAUUUAAUUUGCCACAUCCAGCACUAAUUAAUUAAUUACUACUACUCCAGUUGUGUGCUCGAUCAAACGCGUUGCAACAAACACAGGGCGGCUUAUGUUGGGUUUGCAUGUGAUAGAGUACUCCUAGUCCUAGCAACCACGUAUACGUACUCAAUGCUUAUGUUGCUUGCGGCCUUAAAAUCAUCAUGAUUAUCCGGGGGAUGAGCUUAACGAUAAUGACUAACAAAGAAGUUGAGUUAGCUAGGGUACUUACGUACCUGCAUGCUUUCGUUGACAGAAAAUGAAACAUUCUGUGUGUGGAUGUAUUAAUUGGGAUGCAUUAUUAUAUAUGAGAUCGCCAAAUGCUUGCAUACAUGAGAGAUCUCCUAUAAGCUCGUUGCCUCCCAACCAAAUCACGGAUACUGAGUAAAUAAGCAAACUUUAAUAGAGUAGUAUCCUGAUCUCUCUAAUUAAUUACUAGUGUACUAUGCAUAUAUAGAAGGAGGUUUGAUCAGCUUAAUUUGAUAAUGAAGUGAUCCAUCAAUAUAUAGUUCAAAAAAAGAUACUCCUACUAGUGAAGUGAUGAUCCACUUGCAAUCUCAACUGCUUAUUGAGCCGAAAGAUAAGACCUUAGGUAGCAGCUACUUGUACUGAUAAACUUUACUAGCCGAAAUUAGCACGACUAGCCUUCAUUGCCCAGCACUUUUUUGAUCUAGGAGUAGUUCAUUUGUCCACAGCUGAUAUCUUGUCCAUUUUGUCUGCAUUUAAGAUGCUAAACAGUAUCUUAACCUACUGGGGGGGGGGGGGGCAUGAUCAAUCUUAGAUUGCUCAAAUUUGCCGUGAAAUGCGCAUCAAUCAUUACGGACAAAGCAACACAUGCAUCAAGUUUACACUGUGCACUUCUCUUUGCUGGAAAUUUUUUAAGUCUCAAAGGCAUACAGUACACACCUAGAAAACUACUGCUCCGUAUUGCUGCUAUGCUCUCUCUCUCUCUCUCUCUCUCUCUCUCUCUCUCUUUAAAAAAGUAUUGUAGCUAUAGUGCUAUGUACGGGAAGGUAAUUGGCACAAGUUCAUUUCUAAAAAAAUUUUCCUACUCAGGCUGAAUUUGUUUGGGCGUAUGGAGGUGAAAACUUCAUGACACAAGCCAUUAGCUUAUGAUUAAUUAAUUAUAAUAGACUUAAAAAUGUUUAUUGGAUAAAUAAAAUUUAUAUAUAGUAGCAUAAAAAUACAUCGCUUAACAGUUUAGAAAGCACACUAAUGGAAAACAAGACAUUGUCACCCUAAACUCUAAAACGAACACAACCUUACUCAAUUCGUUCUAAGAUAUAAAUUUUUUCAGCAUUUAAAUUUUAUAUAAAAAUAUGACAACUUAAAUCUUUGCAUAUUUACUUUAUCUCAAGCAAUCAUAACCAUCUCUUACAAUUCACUUCUCCAUGAAUCUUUUCAUCUUAACCAAUCAUUUUUUUUAGCAUUAUGUUGAUCUCAUAUACUUCCUCUGUCCCAAAAUGUAAGCAUUUUUGAGGUUGGCACGGGUAUUAAGAAAGUAGGUGAAAAUGAUUGAAAAAAGUGUGUGAUUGGUUGAAAAGAGAAAGUAGAUGAAAAAAAAUGGUUGUGAUUGGUUGAGAGGAGAAGGUAGAUAGAAAAAUAGCUUCAUUUUAGAACAAAGUAUUUUAGGAGGGAUGUAGUAUACUUCUAAAACUUGAGAUAGUAUUUUAGAACGGAAGGAGUGCAUGGUAUCAUCGUUUGCAUGGAAAAGAUCGAUCGGAAGGAGUAGACAAUAUUUGUGGCGUAGCGUAGUCUUUGUGUGUGAGCUCCCCCAUGAGAUGACACGACGGAUUUGUCACUGGUGGAGACAAAUGUCUCGGUCAGGACUGCUGCGCUGGAACCGGGACGCCACACACACAAAAAAAAAAAAGUUUGGCCCACUGCAGUGCCCGCACCACCCAAGCUAGCUAGGGUACGUACCAAGACACCCGACAUUUGCCUACAUUAUUGCCUCCCGUUCUUCUACUGCUACACACCAAAAGGAACGGUGAAAGUGUAAAACAAACAAUUGCAGAGAGUCCCUGAAUAUGUUUGAGGAAGUUUCUGAUAUUUCUAACUUUUCCCAAGCUCAGAAACUCCUCCAAAUUGUAUAUAAAUUUUUCGGAUCAAGAGAAACUGUGGUUUUACAAUUCAAAAAAUAAACUAUAAGUCAGAAACUAAAAAACUGUAACAACUACAUGUUUCUCAGGGCUUGUUUGAUUCAAUACCUUACCAAAAUGUUGGCAAGUUUUGGUACUACCAACAUUUUGGUAGGGUAGAGUUGUAUUUGGGCUGUGUUUAGUUUCUGAAAAAAGUUGAAAGUUUGGGGAAAGCUGGAAGUUUAGAAAAAAAAGUUGAAAGUUUAUUUGUGUAGGAAAGUUUUGGAUGUGAUAUGAUGGAAAGUUGGAAGUUUAGAGUAGUUGGGGGUGAACUAAAGUUUAGCCCCUCUCUCCCAAACACCCCAUAAACACGGCCUUGGUUGGAGGCCAAUUUAGAAGUUAGAACCAAGCAUUGAGUAGAAUAUAGAAAAUAUCAAAUUGGAUAUUGGCAAUGCCAAUGAUUUGGCUUCAAAACAAAACCGUCAUAUAUACUAAUCCAAAAUGGCCGUCAGUUUCUCAUAAUUUUAAGUUGAUCAAACAAGCCAAAGUCACUCGCUUGAUCUAGCUACCACUGUUUGCUACUUUGUUGUGCUAGUGCAGUACUGCAGUAGGAGUGCGUACAGUACGUGACUAGUUUGUGUGUACGUACUUUUUUUUUUUACUGCUGGCAUGUUUUGUUUGUCAAACAUAGGACCGGACGGACCACAACAGCUCAUACAAAGGGGGACACACGACAAGGCCGGUGAUGAUACGAUACGAUACGCAAACGCGGCGAUGCAAUUGUAGCUGCACAUGCUGCGGCGGCAGCACACAUUUUUGACGCGGCCGCACGGCGGUGUGUUGGGUUCAAACACCUCCUCCUCCUCCGCUCCGGCCGACGUCGUCGGCAGCUGCUAAACUGCCAUCGAAACAACGGAGACGGAGGCGUGAAUUGUCGUUCGGGUUUUGGGCUUUUUAUUUAUGUGACAAAACUGAUGAAAAAGUAGGGAGUAGUAGGAGUACAUUUUGAAGGAGUCGGGUUAACAAAAAGAACCAGACCCGAAAGGAAUGGGGGCCACCAGAGUGCACCCAAUGGACAGCUGCAACAUGGCUGCCCCUCAUCACUGAUUCAGCACCAUGUGCCUCAUGUCAGUGCCUGUCCUUGCACACUCUUGUCAGAUGCGCAAUCAUCAAAAGUAAAUUGCCCACGCCUGCCUUGCAGUUCCUCCUCUGCCUCUGCCUGUCCCCCCCCCCCCCCCCUCUGUUCUUCGUUGACGAGUUCUUGGCGAUUAUUGGAGCUAUCAGUGCCUCAACUCCUAGUACGAUUUUUAAAAGCACGGAUAUUGUGUUAUUUCUGUGUUCCAUAGCGAAAAAAGAGGAAUAUCGAUAGUGAACUUUCAACAUAGUUAGAGCCAAACAUAAGAUCCGAAUAUUUUCUUCAGCUAGCAUGUGCGAAAACAUGUGUAAAGUGGUAUAAUGUAGGGAAAUGCUACAAUAUGGUAUCCCAUUCAGAUGGAGUGAUAUCUACGAGGUAUCGCUUCACACCUGAUAGAUAUUGGCUGAUACUCGUUCGGACAAUAUGAUACCUCUAAGGUAUCUCUUGAUACUUAAUAGGUAAUGGCUAAUAUCCAGUUAUCAUGUAAUAUCUUUAAGCUCUAAGGGAUCAUCCCGUCCGAACGGGAUAGUUUCAUGUAUCCCCUUUAAUAUAAUAUAAGGUUGUGUUCGUCUCUAUAGAAGAUAAAAUGAAGUUAGGGUGCAAAAAACAAGAAAACUAUUAGCUCAUAAUUAAUUAAGUUUUAAUUAUUACAAAUUGAAAAAUAAAUUUAUUUGAUAUUUUAAAACAACUUUUGUAUAGAAAGUUUUCAUAUGCACCCUUUAACAGCUUGAAAAACAUGUUACCAAAAAUCGAGAUAAAAUAUACAACUUAAUCACAAAAGAAUGGAGCCAUACUGAAGAUUAAAAUUAAGACACGCAAAAUAAGAAAUUUAAUUAUUACAAAUUUAAAAAAUUGAAUAUAUUUAAUAUUUUAGAAUAAUUUUUAUAUAGAAAUUAUUUGGCAGUUUAAAAAGCGAGAACGAGCCGAUGAUGCGCUUGAUCACUAGGCCUGCACGUUUCAGCUGCCCGUGACUGCUCUGCAGCAACAAAGCUAUGCUGCGGCUCAUGUGCUAGGUAGACGCAGCCAUCUCUACGGCUCUACCGAUCAAUUUCUAUGUAGCCAAGAAAUCAGUCACGUAGCCAUUCACUGUAGUGCGGCUCACUAACAAAACUGAUCCCUACAUCACCAGGCCUUGGAAUUGCCCUAGUUGAAGCCACGAAUAUAACUUAGAAGUAUAACGCCACGAAUAUACUGUACCUUAGAAGUAUAACAGGGUCAUUCUUUCGUUACAAAGUGUCAUGUACUCCCUCCAUCCUAUACAAAACCAAUAUAGUGUAAGAGAAGUUCUCAUGCCCCUUUAGGCACAUAUAUCAAUUUCAUAUGAAUUUAAUUGUUCUGUAUGAUUCAGGAAAAGUUCUUACGGCUGGAGGGUAUUUAAAUUGGUUUUAGUAACUGAAGAAAAUAUAAAUUGUUCAGUUUUGUAAACUUGGGUGGUGGUCAUAGUAGAGAGGGCAAAAUAUUUAACAUAAUACUCCUAUAGAUGUGGAAUUAAUUAUUUGAUUUUUGUGGACCUACUGCAGACCAACAGAGCCUAAAAUUGUUUUUGAGUUACACGUACAGUAGGCAAAGGGACUUUAUGGGAAUUGGCCACAGCAAAAAAGAUGUUAGAUGCCAAUUAAGGAAGGAUUAGGUAAACUUAAGUGCCUAUCAAUAAUAAUCUGAGGGGAUUUCGAAACUACUUGGUGGGAGGUGCAGUGGCAAUGUCUGUUGCCCAGAUCAACAACCACUAGCGCUCGAGCGAAGGCUGACAAGCCACUGUCUGCAAACAUCAGACAUUAAAAGGUACAGCAGCGCACGGGAGCCCCCCCCCCCCCCCCCCCCCAAUGAAUGCUGUGUGGGGUGCACUGAUCGAUUUUUACGUGACAGUGAAUGCGAUGGGUAACAUGGCGAACCCCAACCGAUCAGCUCAAGACCACUCAUGACGACCUGGACGCUGUCAAGAGAUUAGCCAGGAACAUUUGUUUCAGUACUAAUUAUGAUUGAUGCCCUUUGCUGAUGCGCUCCCUUCCUUGAUCAAGUAGGCAGGUCCCUAAUCUAGGAGCUUAUCUGGCAUCGAUGGGUUGAUAAUUGAUGCUGAUACAACAGUGUUGUACCUUGGGUGCUUUGUUCUCCCUGAUGCGACAUUUUUGUGAGCGAUCUUAUUGGUAAGAGUAACCCCGUUGCCAUCACCAGCAUUUAUUAUUUUCCCCAUUACCUACCUCAGCAGGUCACCAACCUUUUUGGAAUGCAGGAUCAGAAAAAUAAACAUGAAUCGGAUUCCAAAACACAGGAACGAUGAUAGUGGGUGUUUGAAGGGCCUAUUUUUUCGCUUAUGUUUAUGCUUAUCAAUCAAAAUUUAAAUUUUCAACCUUAAAUUUAGAGUUGAUUUUGAGAUUUUUUUCAACGAAGUUUAUUUUUCAGCAUUUACUUUUAGAUCGCUAAGAACACGUUUAUAAAAGUUUUAUUCACAAAUUACUUUUCAUUUGCAAAUAUGCCGUUUCGCUUAUUUCGCAAUUAAGUGAAACGAUGGCUCAGUUCGUCCGUUCCCUACACCCUUCGGAAAAUAGAACUUUCUAAUAACGAACUAUGUUUGUCCAUUAUUCCUCAAAAAAUUGAUUUUUUUACGGACGAAGUAGGAAGUAAACAUAUAUCCCUCCGUCCAAAAAUAAACCAACUAUACUAGAAUAAUACUGUACAUUACUAUGGCCAAUCUGGAUAGGUGCUCUUAUUCAGAUUUACUAGGUAAUUUUACAUCAUAUUCUAGGUUUAUUUAUUCUGGAAGAGAGGAAGUAAAUUAAUGACAGAGAGAAACUAGAGAGACCGGGUGCAUGGGACUUGUCAAAGAAAGAUAGAAACAUGAUGUUUGAGCUCAUGUUUAUUUUCCUAUGGAAUUAGGGUCAUAUGAGGCCAAUCUAUAGGAAUUCUGGCAUCCUAUUUCUUUGUUCCAAAGGACAUAAAAUUUCCCAAGAAUUCCAAUCCGACAUAAAUCGUAUGAAAUUCAUCCAAUCAAUCCAAAGGAAUCUUAGCACACGAUAAAAAUAAAGAAAAGCUAAUAAUUGUGCGGAUACAUUAUGCCGUACUUUGGUGCGCAAAUACAACAGACACUACCCUGGUUGCAUAUGCAGGGAGGCUAGUGUGCGGCAACCUACUGUCCAAUCUUGGGUUUUGGGUAAUUGAUUGGGCGAUUGAUGCGGUAGCAUGGGGACAACCACAUAGAACUCGUAGUAAAUUGGCAAUGUCCAUGCUAGGAUUUUGAAUUGACAGUGCCCCUCCAGUGUACAGCCCCAACAGGUAACUCAUAUGAACCCGUGAGGGGAAACAGUGGUUUGAUGUCACUCUUGUACGUACCACUAUACUGGGGAGUACAUCCAAAAGCGAAAUGGAACAACACCCACAUGCAUAUGUUGCUGAUCGAUUUUGAUUCCCUUCAACAUCACCGUCUCGUGGUCGCUGUUCGCCGGUCAGAAUUUGCAUUGCAACCGGACUGCAUGUCUCAGGGUCAGGCAGAGGCAGCUCAAGUGAGUCCAACAGAGAGACCUGGGCAGGCUGGCUAUGGGUCUGCAAAGGAUGGGGCAUGGGCGCGGCACGGUGUUUUUUGUUCAGCAUGGAUUUGCAAGGCACUACACCAGUACAGAGUACAUACUACAGAGCAAGAAAACUUUUCAUGGUCUUGUGUGUUUGUGGGUCAGUUCAGGUCACUAGACAACAGCAGGAGAUGGGAGCAAAUAGUAACCAAAACCCCCCCACCCCGGAUCCCACCCAUGUGGGUACCAAUUGGACCCUUGCUGGACACAGCGAAAUUUUCGGGAAGAGACCACUCCACAGUGGAGAUAUCUCGCCGAUUACACUAGAAUCACUACUGCUAUGCUACAUGCCAUCUUCACAAGAUCGCAAUAUCUUGAGGAAGCUACAUGGAAGCUAGAAAUCUAUAUCACGGCUCAAUUCUAUGAGACUAUGACAGAUAUGCUGAGAUUAUAUGCUUUUUUGCAUAAGCAACCACCAAAGAACUUGUCGGAUUUGUUUGAAUUUUAUUGUCAGGAGGUGAGAAGCAAACACGGAUAAAAGGGCAAGGGGGGAAACAUACCUGCCAUUCUGCCAAACGCAGGUAGGUCGCUGUGGUGGCUCAGGUCGAGCUGUAGAUGUCACCAUUCCUCGUUGCCUACACAAUACACAUUACAGUUUGGAUUAGAGAAUAGGGAUAUCAUUAGCUUUGGCCUUCUCUCCAUUCAAACGACAACUUUAGUCCACCUGUAUAAAUUAUAAAUCUGACUCCCUCUUUGCCCUUCCCUUUUCAAUAAUACACUAAGUAAUUAAUAGUGGGAUCUGAUCAGAAUCAUGAGAUCAUAUGGGCCUACGUGUUCACAAUAACAAAUGCUUCUCGUCCUUGUCUCCAUGCACCAAAACUAAAACUACAGCAGAAACAAGUAGGCAAACAAGCAUAGAUGGUGCAUACUCAAUACGAUUCCAAAUAUAAUCCACUUUAGACCUGUACACACUGAUUAUUAAAGCCUGUCAAAUGAGUUUGUUGGUACUUAUAUUGCAUAGAAAAAAUAGAUAACUUACUGUGAUAGUGAUAUUGUUCAUUUAGCAAGGGAAAGAAGCCAUCACAAGAAAUUCUAUAACAACUUACAUAUAGAAAACAACCUUCCAAUUUUUGAAUGGUAAUUUUGUGUGGAUGGUCAUUAUAAAAAACAGUCAAACUUAACAAGGCUUAAACGAAUUGUAUGUUUACACCACUAGCACUACUAAGAAACGUCUUAUCAUAGAUUCGCAGCUAUUUGGUGCAUCAAAGAGGAAGGAAAUAAAGGAUCAUAAUACGCUAUGCAUUUACUUUCUCUACACUUUAGUUCCAUGCUGGCAUGCAUUUUAGGUCUGAUAAGGACUUCUCCCAGAUUCCUACUAACUGGCUAAACUUGCUGUAAGUUGAGGUGCACAAACAAAAGGGGUUACCCUUUGUGGAAGUCACUUGUUUUCAACUGCACUCAGGUAGUCAGGUAUAAUGUUUACUCCACAUAUCUACCGGGUAGAACUAGCAACCACCUUAAAUGGUUUCAGGUAUUAAAACAUUAUUCUGCAUCACUACCUAAACGGCGGUAGUUAAUAUUUGCUUAACAGUAGCACUAAUACCUGCUAAAAGGAUUGAAGGAUCGGGACAGCUGUUUGUGUUCGACCCAACUUUUUUGACACUUUUUUUACUGGCAGUUGUAAAGGAAAAAAAAAAGGUACAGAUAUAUACGUAGUAAUGUAAAAGGCAAUCAUUCUUCAACUGUUUACAAACAAGUUCUGGCAACUACAGGGACUCAACUAGGUGACAUGAGAAAGCAGAGAGCUAUGAUGGCCUUAAGAUCCAUUCGGUAUCUUUCUGUUUUCUAUGGCCUGUCUUUGCUUUUUCCCAGGGGUAAGGUAAUCUUAUUUAAAAGAUCAUGAUUCAAGAAAAGAAAGUGGGAAUCAAAAACAUAUCUAUCUCCAAUGAGUGGGCCUGCUAUUAUAGCAGAUUUAAUUACAGGAGAAAGAUGUUACCCUUCGAUACACCUUCACAAGAGCAGGGAACAAUCAGUAGCAAAGCUUUGAAAUGUAAAAUAUAUUAUGGCAGCUAAAACUGUAGAGGGAAGAAAAGGCUUGUUUGUUUGAUUAUCAUCCACUAAACAAGCAUAAGAUAGUAUGGAAAACAAGUGGACCUGUGUAUCAGUUAGUGCUAUUGGUUGACCUAUAGCCGCUCUGAUGUUUUCCAGUCUUAAGUUCAAAAUAUACUUCAGAACUUCAACAUACCGUCAUAUGUAGCUUUAGAACUUCUAUUUUUAUUAUUGGUUCCUCGCUCUCCAGGUUCCCGUUGAAGGCCCUGACAGGAGGACCUAAUUGGGCCAGGUCCAGGAGAGUUGCAAAGAUUUGACCUGAAAAUAGCAACCAACAAACACUAGAGUUAACGACAAUAGAUCUCCUAUUUGACAGCAGCAACCUAUGGGCCUAGCAGAUACCAAAAGAGAUAGCAUAACUAUCAUUAGAUUGUGCUUGGAAAAGGGAAGUCGUCUUCAUAAGUUACAGCUUACAACAGGACGUAGCUGUCUACUUCCAAAUCCCUUUUUUUGUUGCUUCACGAUCAAGCCUUCAUGAUGGUACAAAACCUUGAAAAUAGUACUGUAUAGAGUGCUGGUAUGAUUGAUUGACGAGUUAAGAACAAACAGUUUCUAGAUAGCCAACUUGUACCAGAUAUCAUACCCAGGAUUUGUGUUCACACAAAUCUGCAUAAUCUUGAAAACCAAACUAAAGUAGUAAACCAAAUAUGCUCAUCCCGUCCAAAUUGGCGACAAAGGAAAUAAAUUGGGAAAAAAAAGUUCUACUGACAAAGGAUUAUACUGAGUAGGACUUGCUGUAAGGAAGAUGGGAAAAAGGCGCUCAUCAAUCAUAAUGAUUCAACUGACAUAAGAAACUAAAACAGGACAGGAAUGCCAUAAUGUACCAAUUAUCAAAUGAUACGCAGAGCAAGCUAUGUUCUGUGAAGAUCCUGAAAAGCUCAUUUGGUUCUGAAAUGCAAUACGCUAAUUCCUUCAGCCAGGACUCAAAGAAAACUGAAACAGCAUAACAGUAGGUAUCAGCUUAUAUAUUCAAGCAAGUCAAACAUGUAGUGCCAAAUAAUUGCGGUGCAGAUUAGAGGAACCUGAAAUGGGUAAAACAGUCUUAGGCUCAGGAAUACAAGAAUAUGAUAAUAUAUUCAGAGGUAUGGUUGAAUGUAAAUAAUAGUGGUAUGGUCUCAGGUUAAAAAGAAACUGGAUAUCACUAUAAAAAGAAGUAAUUAUGGUCAACAACAGCGUCAAUGAUCUUACAUUAUAUGCUGAACCUAGAUACAUUGGUGCAUAACCUCUUAUAUAUAUUUUUUUCAUUUACAUUUGGCCGGGUAAAUUUAAAUGAAAUGUACAUAAAAAAGAUAAGAGUGAAAUUACAACAAUAUAGACUAUGUGGUAUUAUGCUGAAUGAUCUCCAAACGGCCAGAAGGAGCCAUUCAUAUGGUUGGAAUCGUAACCCUGCAAAUAAAAAUGGAGAAAUAUUUCAGUUCAAAAGACAACAUGGAGACAUCGCAUGCACAGUUGCACACUCAUGUUUCAACCAUAAAAAUGUGAUGCGGGCACCAUACAAGAUUGUUUCAGUUGAAAUCUAGCAACAAUACCAGCAAAGCACAAACAACCAAACUAUUAACACUCAUUAAAAUCGUCUAGCAAGGGUACUGAGAUUGCUGAUUUGUUAAGAAAACUAUACCAUAAAGACAGAGUUAACCUCACUUAUCUGCUGGAGUCUGAGAAUUAUUCUUUUGGCAAGUAAAUCCCAAUUACUACUAACACUGGCAAGUGUGGUAGAUCAUGAAUGUGGAUAAAAGUUACACUAACAUCAGAAUAUAUGGAACAAAGAGCAACCAAGUAUUAACUAAAUCUGAAAGAGAUAUAUUGGGCUUGUUUGGCUGUCAUUUUUGUGGCUGCGUCUGCUGCUAGUAGCCACGGCUGUGCGCCACAGCCACAGACAUUAUGCACAGCUGCAGCCGCAAAAAAUCGCAGCCAAGCAGUGCCAUUUUGAACUUCAGCAAAUGAGAUCAUGUGAUGGCCAUUCUUGAGCAACAAAACAAAUUGUGUCAUGGAUUGCAUAUUAAAUAGCAAAAAUAAAUAUUUCAGAAGAAUGUGAAAGGAUACACGGGACAUACUAUAAAGGUCCAGACAUUUUAAAUUUACAGCAUCCAAAACGAAAACAGAUACUAAUUCAUAAUUCUAUCGUUUGCAAGGGGAAAAAAAGCAUCACUCACAGACAUGUCUGAAGUUUUCAUUGAUCGUCAUCAGCCACCCAUGAGGCCAAGAACAAUAUAAUAUAUUCGGGCGUUAGGGAGUGAUCUAAUAAGAUAGGAGUGGGAAGUAGCUAGAUAGGUUAACAGUCUUACUACCCAUGGUUGAAUGAGAUGGCACCAGGCAGCACCAAAAAAGGGGAGAGGCAGAGAGAACAGGGGAUGAGAGAGUAGACUUGUAAUUUGCUCUUAAUUUCAAAGAUAAUGCCAAGCUCUCUUAAAUAAAGCCAGCCCCUAACAAACCUAAAAAGUUUAACAAAUCUCAACCUAAACAAAUUGAAUCAAACAACUAAGGAGGUACGAUAGGUGCGGCAAAUGCAUUGAUGGUCUAUCUGCUGCCGCUUGGUUCUGCCCCCUGUGCGCCAUCCUUAGCACUUCAACUACAUGUGUACCGACCAUGACACACAUUCAACAGUACACAAAUAGGAGUAAAAUGGAGCGAUAAAAAUAAGAGUAUAGGGUAUUAAAAAAGCACGUUCACAGACAUAGACACCGUUACGCUUACCGAUUGGAAAUCAUUUUCAGAAACCACAUUCCAGUUGCACUGCCAAUUUUGCUGCAAGGAAACAUUCUCAUCUCCAUGACACUCAUAAAUUUGUGUUUGUUGAGGGUAGAAGGAAGUUGCAAAUAAGCUUGCAAUACCACUGAAUUCACUGGAGCUUAAAGUAUGCUGCAAGUCAAAGUAACGAAUUAGUAAAGGAAAACAUAAGUAGCUAUAGUCCAAUAAAAAAGUUCAUGGUCCGAUAAAAUGUAGCACUCAAGGAGUUUAAAGAAAAAAUAAUAUUGCCUCAGGAAGGUAUUAGUAGCACAACAUAUGUGAUAACGAUAGCUUCCACUGAAAAUUUCAAUAAUACAAUUACUUUGAUCUUGAAGCAGCAAGGUAUCACCAUAUCGGUAUAACAUCAAAUGUGAAAAAGAUAGUCUCAGUUGGAUAUUUUUUUUACAACAUAAUUCCUGAAAUAACUACCUAACUUACAUUUUCGAAUUCAGCAGAUGCCCCAUCUGUGCAGGACUGAUAGUAUCCCGAAUGCAUAGCCCAAGAAGGCUUAAUUGGUUCAAAUGGUUCAUCUGGCACAUGUUCAUCGGGCAGCUGUAUGUCAUAUGAAUGUCCCAACAUAUCUGAAUCAUCGUUGCUGUUAUGGUGGUUGUAUGUUGAGAAGCUCUGCACAAAUUAUUUAAUUGACAAUCACAAGACUACAUAAAAAAAAAGUGUUCUCCCUUGAGAUUGAUGAACUCAACCUGAACAAGCAAAUGCAUAAUUACCAAAUGAAGACACUGUAAACAGCAUUUGUAGAUGACAGACAAACCUCAUAGUACUCCAACUUCUGAGAAUAAACUGUUUCUGGGGGCUCAACAAGAACAUGUAGCGGUUGUUCACUAAACUGCUGGUUGUAACAAUAAAUAGGCUGAGCUGAAAUCUUACUUUCUGCACAAGAGCUGGACAAGAUUUCCUGCACGCAAAUUUAAUAUUAAGCAGGGAUUAGAAGCGAAGAUAGCAGGCAGGAUCUGUUGAAUGCUACACAAGAGUAAUGUAUCAUUGAUUUUUUUCGCGAACGCUAAUGUGUCAUUGAUUAAACUGUCUAGUCACAGAAAGCGACUCCCUCAAAAUAAACAAUCCUUUUCGUUCCAUUUUCUGUCAUUUUACAUGUCAAAUAUGUCCACUGACAAGAUUAGCUAGCAUAUUCUCAGAAAAAUGAAUCAAACAUAACUAAAUUACAGUACUAUUGCACGCAAUUGAGCUAAAUACUCAGGCUGACGACUAAUUGACCUCAUUCUUCUUGAUCAGUGAUAAGUUAAUUAGUACCUGAUACUGAGAUUCCUCCUCUUUGUACACGUGCUGGUAGUUCUGAUUAGGAAACCAAGUAGUUUCAUCGGAAACGGCAUCAAGACUGUAAGACUGAUCAUAAGAGCGAUCAUACGAACUGUAAUUGUGCUGCACAUAUGCAUAUGUUUCAUCUUUGGCAUUGUCAUCCCAAGAUAAGCGCUGGCUCAACAUGCAAGACAGCAGACGUAGCAAGUGAACAACAAUAGCAAGUCAGAAGUGAAGUGAAAAAUCCCGAGUGGUAUGGUGUAUUCGCUCACAUUGCCGUUGUUGUAGUUGUACUCCGGGUCGUCGGCGGCGUGGUGCCACUCUACAGUCCCGGUGGCCGGCGGCUCCACUUGUAUGACGACGGCUUCCUCGACGCCUCCCUUCCUGUUGGCGUAGACGGGGACGCCGUGGUAGUCCACCCCAAUACGGCGCUCCCCGUAGCCAUCGGCGUGGCCGAAGAGGUAAUCCAGCCCCCGCAUGAACUGCCUCCAGUAGUCGCGGCCGCCGCACCGCGAGUGGCAGCGCGCCCCCGCGAAGAAGGGCCAGCCCCGGAAGACCUCCGGCGUGGCGUACGCCGGCUGCUCGCGCGGCGCAUCCCCGUAGUCGUAGGGCUUGGGCCAGUAGUACGGCUCCGCCACGGGCGGCGGCGAAACCGGCCGAGGCUGCUGCUGCUGCGGCGGCGGAGAAGGCGGCCGCGUUUGCGGGGGAGUGGGCGCAGGCGGUGGAGAAGCCGGAGGCGGAGUAGGCGACGGCUUAGGCGGCGGGGCCGUAGGAGCAGCGGAGGAGACGGGGUAGCAGGUGGUGGGGGAGGGCGGAAUCGGGGAGCCGUAGGUGGCGAAGAUGUCGUAGCCGCCGCCGUAGGGGUGGGGGUUGUAGUCGUCGUACUCGUCGUCGUCGUCGCCGUAGUAGUCGUCCGCCGGGGCCGCCAUGGCGAGGAAUGGUGGUUAGGGAACGGAGUAGUGAUGAGGCGAAGUGGGAGAGGGAGAGGAUAUGGCUGCGAUGGUGAGAUGCGACGACGGCUGCACGCGCGCGGCUGGUGGUAUGUUGAUUUCGAGUUGACCGCGACGGGCGCCGAUGUGAUGGAGGCGUCGGUGGGAAGCGACCGCAUGCAGAGGAGGUUGGCAAGGAGACGCAACGCUAUUAAUGCAGAUCGCACUUUGCAUCGAUCGACGAGGUGCGUUCAAAGCUGUACUAGUACGUAUCACGUCACGUUUGUAUACAGCGGCGCCAGCGAAGCGGCCCAUAUUACUAAGCACUCGAUAUUGAUGGGCCUUAAGGCCCAACCCAAGCGAGCAGUUUCAUACAGUCCUCGCAUCACGUACGUUGCAGCUCUUUUUUUUUCUUUUCGCAUCACGUUGCAGACUUGCAGUUCAGUAGAUGGCUGAUACGCAAAGAAAAGGUAUAGCACCGCAAUAUACUAUUCAUACUUGUACGAGUCAAAAAGGGAACACAUGCGUGGAUUAUAUGAAACGUUGCACGUGCGUGCCACGUGAACACAUGGUGCAUACAGCGAAGAGACGAGAAAAUGGCACGAGACAAGUCAACGAGAAGAGAAUCGAGUGAGAUCGCGGUCAAAAGCAAGCCCAGCGUGUUGUUCAAGCAUGUGCCUGUGAUAGCGUCGCGACAACACGGCCCAGCCUUCCUCCCAGACCCGGCGCUUGCAGGCUUCCAGCCCACAGACUCCCAGAGCGCGCUUUACGUCGCAGUCCAAGCCUCCUUUACUUCUUGCGCGGCUGGCCGAUUACGGCCCAACUUUUGCCCUCGGCCUAGUAACUCCUUUGACUCGGUGGGCUAUGGAAUUUUGUCAAAUCUCUUUUUUGUUUUUUUUUCUUUCAGGAGGUUUUAUCUUGUUUUUUUUCCCAUUUUGCAAACAAAACGUAUUUCAAAAUUUUCUAUCACGAUACCUGGGCUAUGGAAUUUUGUCAAAUCUCUUUUUUGUUUUUUUUUCUUUCAGGAGGUUUUAUCUUAUUUUUUCCCAUUUUGCAAACAAAAUCAUUGUCGACAUCUACUCAUCUGCCCGGGAAUAUAGGGGAUUAUUUCUCCUUCAUUUGUCCAAGAAUAUAGACGAUUUUUGUUAUACUGAGGCAACAAGGGCAGCAACAAACUGAUUUCAGCAUAUAAGGCUCUCACAAACUCAUUAAUACUAAUAUGUAGUGCAUUUUAAAAUUCAUUCACUCCUACCAAACUUUAGUAGUUUUUUUUUAAAGAUGUACUCUAUGCACAUCAUUCAACGUGUUAACUAUAUAUGUCUUUUCACACAAUCAGAUUUGGUGUAUACUUUCUUCCUUAAUUUGUACCCAAUUGGGAAUAAUCCCAUAUAUUUCUGGAUGGAGGUAUUAUUAAAAAGGGAAGGAUUACUAUAACUUGAAUACAAUACAUAGGAACGCAUAAAUGCCAAUAGCGAUAAUACUACACUAGCCAUUGGAGUUGUUCGUCGUAUAAUCAUCUACUAUCUAUACGCCUAAAAUAGACAAACAACAUAAUGUCCGCCUAUAAAUGGUACCUCAUGCAUUAGAGGAGAGAAUAUGCUCUUCGGUAGACAUGUUAGGUUACAUAUGUUAUCUUAUAUGUAGAUGGGACAAGAAGAAAUCAUGAGAAAAGCGUUUGUUAUUCAUGAUAGAUAAGCAAGAUAUCCCUCAAGAGAAGCUAACCUCGUGCAUAAGAGGAGAGGACAAAGAAUACAACAAGAGUGUACUGCUUAUAUGCUCAAUUAUAGCAAGCGAAUUAUUGAAUAUUCCAAUAAUUGCGUGUCGAAAGAUUAUAUAUUCAGGGUCGUUUGUCUCUUACAUUAACCCCUCUUAAAGAAAAAGCAGUAAAAAUCAAAAUAUAUAAUUCUGGAAUAAAUAAUAUUCAUCAACACUUUAAUUUUGUAAAAGAGAAAAAAAGCAUAAGCCGUAGAGGCAAGCCUUGUAAAGGAAUGAAAAUAAAAGCAUUCUGGAUAUAUAAACAAACCACAAAAGAUCGAUCGCAUUCGCCUCUUGAUGUAUACACAUGGUCAAAUCCAAGGAACAUGUCGUGCCCGAUCGUACCAAACCAAGUCACGGUACACGCGUGGACCGCGCACAGAUUAGCCAAACUCUGAAAGCAACACGCACGGCAAACGGGCAAAGCCGGUGACCGGGGGACGCGCGAUCGAUCGAUCGAGCCGGCGCGCGCACGAAGCAAACCGCACCGCAUCCGCAUCGUCGUCAGCAAGAGCAAACCUGUCGCGUCCCCAUUCCAAGCCCGCCACUUUGUCCUCUUCCUCUGGCGCUCGGCUCGCCGGGGAGCAGAGCAGCAGCAGCGAACCCCUCUCUCGCCGCAGAUCCCAACGCCGCACACACACGCACACGCACCCGCACGCGCACGCAUUUCCAGCUCGCGACGACGCCCAUCUCGACGCGACGCGAUCCCCGCCAAGUCAAACCCCACCCGUUAUACUCUCCACUGCGAUCUCAGAGGCAGAGGCAGAGCCCACGCCGCGCAGAUCCACCUCUCUCCGCCCUGGAUUCCGCGGAGCAGGAGGCGGUCAAGCCGUCGCCGCCGCCGCCGGGCCGCAUCCGCUACCGCACGCCCUCCUCCCCGGACCUCCUCCUCGCCCCGCCCUCCGACGCCGACGCCAAGAACAUGCGCCGCUACUCCGCGCUGCCCGGCGGCGGCGCCCGCCCCGACACGCUCGCCGACCGCCUCCACCGCUACCGCGGCGUCCUCCUCGUCAUCCUCGCCCCGCUCGCCCUCGUCUCCCUCGUCCUCCUCCUCAUGCCGCGCUCCCCCGCCUCCUCCUCCGCCGCCGCCGGCAGGAGGUGGGGCCCCCUCGACGCCAACAAGUACGCCGUCAUUUUCGACGCCGGGAGCUCCGGGAGCCGCGUCCACGUCUUCCGCUUCGACGCCAACCUCGAUCUGCUCCACAUUGGCGACCAGAUCGAGCUCUUCGUCCAGGUGAUCCAUCCACCCAAUUGGAUCUGGAUCUGCUAGGGAUCCUUUCAUCUCUCAAUCCAUUUUUACUUAAUUUCCCCCCACUUCCCCUUUUGCAGAAAAAGCCGGGGCUUAGCGAGUACGCCAAUAACCCGCAGGAGGCUGCCAAAUCGCUCGUCUCUCUCCUUGAGGAUGCCAAACGAGUGGUUCCCGUGGAAUUGCGCGGCCAGACUCCUGUUAGAGUUGGGGUGAGUUCUUGUACGAUACCAGUAGAGCUUCCUAUUGCUGCUUGGUCAUCUUCUAAUAAUAAGCUUUAUAAUUCACACACAGGCCACCGCCGGGCUAAGAGCGUUGGGAGCAGAAAAAUCAGAGGAGAUUUUGCAAGCGGUAAAUUUUGCUUUUAUUCACCUUUGAUUAAUUGUUGUUUGAUCGAUCACUGAAUUUAUAUUGGUUGUCCCUAAUAUUGAAUACACUCACAAUUUUUGCAGGUCAGGGAUCUUCUUCGCGAAAAGAGUUCGUUCAAGACCCAACCGGAUUGGGUUACAGUUCUUGAUGGACCUCAGGAAGGCGCAUAUGAAUGGGUACAAAACUGGCCUGAUUUAUUCAUAUGGUUCAGAACAUUACUUUGUGCUCCUGAUUAUUAGAAAUGCCUCACAUUUGUCAGAUUGACAAUAUAAGUUCUUUUUGUUUAGAAAAAACUAUUUUGUUCAGCAACAAAUCUGCCAAUUCUCUUAGAGCUGACAUCUGCCAGCUUCAAAGAUAUAAGUUUUAAAGGACAUGAUAAAAAAAGAGAAAUUUUCGCUUUCAUGAGUGAAUUAGGCAAAAUAACUAUUUUCAUUUUUGAAAAACAAAAUUUGGGCACCAGAAACAAAUGACGAAACAAAAUCCAAAUGACGAAAGCUAAACAUUGAAAGUAAGGGCACCAGAAACAACAUUUUCCCUGAAAAUAGAUGCAGAUCAUCUGAAUCCAUGUGGUGCACUGUUCUGACAGUUAAUUCACCUUUUGAGUGUUUAGGAUCUGUUCACAACUAGUGAUUCUAUGUCUAGCUUUUAGUCCAUUAACUGAUAACAAGUGUUGCUCUUCUCUAUCCUUAUAGGUUACCAUCAAUUAUCUGCUGGGGAAAUUGGGAAAGACUUACGCAGACACAGUUGGAGUGGUUGAUCUUGGAGGUGGAUCUGUGCAGAUGGCAUAUGCAAUUGCAGAGAAGGAUGCAGUGAAGGCUCCUAAACCAUCAGAGGGUGAAGAUUCAUAUGUGAAGAAACUGUUUCUUAAAGGAACAACAUAUUAUCUUUAUGUUCACAGGUUAGUAUGAAAUACCGUUGAGCUUUUGGCUGCUGCUACAUUGUCAAGAAAAAAGUUAUUCAGUUGUGAUACGGUAACAAUCUUCAAAAUCCAUUUAAGCAUCUGAUGGCAUAUUGUCAUGCCUAUUUCUGAUGUCUGCCUAUGCCAAUUCAUAGGUUAUAUUCUUUGCAAAGCAGACAGCUGUUGUAAUCCUCUAAGAUACUAUCUCGUAUUGAUAAAAAUGCAAGAAUAGCGUAUUAAUGCAAAUUUGAGAAACUUAAGUCCAGACCAAACGUAAGGGUACUUUUAUGUGUAAAGAUUCUACCUAAAUAUCACGUGGUAUUCUAUGUAAUGUUCUACAGCAAACACUUAAUCUGACAUAGCCACAAACUUAAUACUCCUUACUUUUUUAUUAUCUGCUGUAUAAGAUGACAUCACAUGACCUGUUUUUAGUCUGGAGUCUUUGAACCACAUAUAUAACUGUACACAUUUCUUCACAGCUAUUUGCAUUAUGGGUUGCUGGCUGCUAGAGCAGAGAUCUUAAAAGCCGGCAAUGGCAAAGGUUACAGCUACUGUACAUUGGAGGGGCAUCAAGGUACUAGUAACAUACUUCUACCAUAUUCUUCUGCUAUCAUUUAACUCCCUGCCAAGUAGCUUAUGUUUGUUCCUAAAAUUUCAAUUGUUGUUACCCUUAUGCAUAUUUUGGUCAAGGGAGGAAUGUAAUGCGUAGGCUGCAUUCGGAGGUGGAGGUUGGGAACUUCACCUCGCCACACGCAAAACAAAGCGACCCAUUAGCGCAUGAUUAAUUAAGCAUGAGCUAAAAUAAACUUGAAAAAAAUGGAUUGAUAUAAUUUUGUAAAACAACUUACAUAUAGAAUUUUUUUUGCAAAAAAAAAAAACACCGUUUAGCAGUUUGGCAAACGUGUGCGUGGAAAACGAGAAAUAGAAGUUGGGAAGAGGUGGUAAGGAACACACCCUUAUAGUGGAUCGUAACCUGGUUUAAAUGAGGUUACCCUCAAAUUCUCUAUGAAACAAAUACCUUACUGGUUUCCUUGAUAUUCUUUCCAACCAUCAGUCUGCAGUUAGAAUUAUUUAUAGUGAUGUGUAUAAAUCUAAAUCCUCAUCAACACAAAUGACCAAUCUGUGACAAUAGUUGGAGAUGCAAUUUUAUCUUUUCUAUGUUGGUAAGAUAGUUUUGUUCUAAUUGCAUUGUGAUUGUAGGGCAAUACAAAUAUGGCAAUGGCAAAUUUGAAGCGUCGGCUUCACCAUCUGGUGCUAGUUAUUCAAAAUGCAGGGAUGAUGUAGUGAAAGCUCUUAAAGUUGACCAAGCAUGCACUCACAUGAAAUGUUCUUUUGGUGGCAUUUGGAAUGGUGGUGGUGGCGCUGGACAGAAGAAUUUGUUUGUGGCAUCAUUUUUCUUCGACAGGGCAGCUGAGGUAAGGUUGUUGAACUACUGAAGAUGUUUGCUUUUGUUGCCAUGAUGAUACACCAGUAAACAAUUUUCUGGUCUCUGCUCAGGCUGGAUUUGUGAAUCCCAAGGCACCUGUGGCUAAGGUUAAACCUUCAGAUUUUGAAAAGGCUGCCAAGCGUGCAUGUAAGUUAAACUUGAAGGACGCCGAAGCUGCCUACCCUGGUGUCCAAAAGGAUAACAUUCCAUAUAUCUGCAUGGAUCUCGUUUACCAGUACACCUUACUUGUGGAUGGAUUUGGUAUGUCUCGUUAAAACUAAAUAUAAUCAAGACCGCAUUACAGAUUUUGCACAAAUUUAUCACUAAUUUGUUUUGCUCUUGCACUCUCGCAGGUGUUGGUUCUCACCAAGAGAUGACCUUGGUAAAGAAAGUCCCUUACAGCAACGCGUUUGUGGAAGCAGCAUGGCCACUGGGAAGUGCCAUUGAGGUUGCAUCUUGAUAGACAGACAGCAGAAAGUUCAGCAAGGGAGCUACGAUCAGAGGGCGUCAUCGCCGUAAAGUUUUGGAUCUGGAGGGUGUUCGCUUGCUCGGCGCUGCGCACGCCCCAAGUGACCAUUUUGUUACUGAAAUCGAUUGAUUUAACCUGCUUCUAUACAGUAGCCUGAUAAUGAGUGAUACACAAGGACCCGCCAGCUUGCAUAGUUGCAUACUUGCAUGCAAGGGGUAUAUACAUUUUUUUUUUGUACCAUUGAAAGUAAGACGAGCCUGUCAUUCUUUUCUUGAUCUAUACUACUCCAGUUCUGUACCUCUGUUAGGGGCAGUACAGUAGAGAAGAAGAUUGACCAUGUGUCCAUGUGGUGAUCCCACAUGCCAGCAUGACUCAGCUGAUAUGUGGGUCCCACACUUUGUCUCUGCUGCCAUGUCAGCUCCUUUUGUUGUUCUCCGGAUUAAAUUGUCGUGUAAGCGUCACGUCAAUUCCACGUAGGAUGAAGCAGCCUAGUCAAAAGAGCUAUGUAUGAACCUUAUUUGUAUAGGUUUUGUAAGUUGAGGGAUUGUAUUUUUGGUUAAGGACGAAAAUCUGGCGACAAAUUGAGACUUUGAGGGAAUAAGUUCAUCCAAGGUCCCUUAACUUGUCAACAAAUCCAAUUUUCAUCCCUUAACCACAAAACCAGAUACAACGGGUCCCUCAACUAUCAAAACCGGUGCAAUAUAGGUCCCAUGGCGGUUUGGAUGGUGGUUUUGGCUUACGUGGCACCUACGUGUCUAAAUUGACCUGGUCUUCAUCUGACGUGGCAUAGAUGUGGCAUUGACGUGGCAAUUUGAUUUGGAAAUUAAUAAAAAGAGUAACCCCACAUGUCAGCUACACCAAAAGAAUUAAUUAAAAAUGGUGUGGUCCACAUGGGCCCCACUUGUCAUUCACUCUCCUCAUCUUCUUCCUCCUCUCUCCCUAUCUCCCCUCUCCUCUCUCCAGGAGCUGGCGGUUCGGUGAUGCGGCAGGCCGGCGGCAGCGGAGCCAGGGAUGACCUCGGAGACGAGGACGCCGGGGAGCUGCGCCUGGACGGGGACGCCGACGGCGAGCGCCUGGGUGUAGAUGAUGAGGAAGGCGAAGAGGAGGUUGGCUGCGACGCCGGCGGAGACGACGAGGAGCCGGUCGGGGACGGGGCGGUUGCGCAGGAGGUCCGGGUCGUCGGGCGAGAAGCCGGAGUCCGGUUCGUCGUCGGGGAAAGCUGACGGAGAACUUGGAGACGUGGAUGCCGCAGGAGGUGGCGGAGGCGACCGACUCGACGCUGGCGAGGAGGUCAGACGGGGGGUCGCCGCGGCAUCGUUGGCCGCCGAACCUCCCUUGACGCCGCAUCGCCGAAAGGGAAAAAGAAGAGAUAAACAAAAACACCAUAUUUUAAUCUGAUCUGAUAUGAUCAAAUGCACCUCAAGCUCGAUCCCAUUAGCAGCAAUGGCGAUAUCGUUGAUUUUCACGACCUGCUCGCUGAGGAAUGGAGGUCCAGUUGCUGGUGCCAUGGGUGGAGGUGUACGCUAGCAGCUUGGCGCGCGUCCUCCUCCGCCUUCCAUGGCCCCUUCUUCACGUUUGCCUUGUCGCAGCACGGCGGCCGCCCCAUCUCUCCUUCUCCCCCUCUCAGCUCCUACCACGGUGAGCUCAACAACAACAACACCAACUCUGAGUCCAGUAACAACAAUCACCGCCGGCGUCCCCGUCCAGGCGCAGCUCCCCGGCGUCCUCGUCUCCGAGGUCAUCUCUGGCUCCGCUGCCGCCGGCCGGCCGCGUCGCCGAACCGCCAGCUCCUGGAGAGAGGAGAGGGGAGAUGGGGAGAGAGAGGAGGAAGAAGAUUAGGGGAGUGAAUGACAAGUGGAGCCCACGUGGGCUCCACCAUUUUUAAUUAAUUCUUUUGGUGUAGCUGACAUGUGGGGUCACUCUUUUUAUUAAUUUCCAAAUCAAAUUGCCACGUCAGAUGAAGACCGGGUCAAUUUAGCCACGUAGACGCCACGUAAACCAAAACCGCCUUCCAAACCACCAUGGGACUUAUAUUGCACCGGUUUUGAUAAUUGAGGGAUCCGUUGUAUCUGGUUUUGUGGUUGCAGGAUGAAAAUCGAAUUCGUUGACAAGUUAAGAGACCUUGGAUGCACUUAUUCCCACUUUGAGCGCAAGUUGUUAUGGUGUAUCGGCCCAUCAAGGCCCAAGCUAGUGUCGUAUGGGCUUGAGAUACACCUGGGCCAUCAAACAGUCUGAACGGGAGUGAGACCCAAGUGUUUACGGCCCAAUGGGCUGUAUAUCUGACUGAGUGAAGUAUGCCCUUGUCAGUUGUCACUGCAGCUAUGCUAAUUAGUGGUUUGGCUUUAUCAACAAUUUAUCAUUGGAAGGUCCUUUUCCACAAAAAAGAAAGCACGUUUUUACGUAGACAUAGACACGCGCACACACGGGUGAAAGAAACAUCAAUCGAAUAAUAGGCAGUAGCUAAGCUAGCUAGCUGGGUACGUACGAAAGGAAUACGUAGAUCUUUAGUACUCACCGUAUUGGACUCGGAAGAGUGGCGUAUCUUACGGUUUUUAACCGUCUCUUCCACAACCAGCCUACACGUGUCCCGUCGGCAGUAACUAGUGUGAUCUGCUCCUCGCCAAUGUCGACACCUGUUAGAUCCCAAAUCAAGAAACUCACCAAAUUAAUCUUCAUCUCUCUCUCUUUUUUUUACCAGCUGUGAUCAACACGAUUUAUUACAUCGAUCACGUUGGUAAUUACCGGAGCCAACCAUUCAAAACCAUGUGUCUGGCUGGCCAUCUUUUUCUUAGGAAGCCAGGUUGUACUACACUACUGCUAGCUGCUGAUGCUUAACUGACCUUGCUUCCUGCUAGCUUAGUGCUUAGCCUUAGUAUCUCAAGAUGGAUGCACUUACAGAACUUCCCUAUCUAACUUGGACCCUCUAGUUAGGUUCAAAAGAUAGUUAUCUUUAAAAGAAAAGUUAGGUUCAGAACAUGCGUUCGUUAUCAGCUGUUAAUUCGUAGAAAAGUUCAGUUUAAUUUGUUUACCGUUUCCAGAACAAGUUAAUUUGUCAGAUCCGUGUAAACAUGCAAACACUCAUCGAUCAUGCUCGUAAAUUAAAUCAAAUUGUUCCAUAUGAAAAGCUUGCAAAAUGAAUGACUUUCAAGCAUGCCCUAGCUAGUAAACUAAAUUACACAACACCUGCCCUUAUAUGAAGGUAUUUUUCUUGAUUGAAAAUAAGAACAGUAAAUGGGAGAGUUGGCUCAAGUUGGUUUAAGGAUCUUUACAGGUACAUUGAAGCUUCCUCUACACGACAUUAUAUAUAUUAUGCGCAUAUAUAUAUGCAGGCCUUGAAUUCUUCAUGUCACAAUCUAAACUGGACGCAGCAAACAGUAAGGGAAUGGCUGUAUUCAUCAUUGAGCACAAUUAAUCUAACCGUACGUCCUUUUACCUUGGAAGACCAUAACUGUACUAAUCGACAUUAGCGAUGCUUCAACGGAACGUCGGACUCUGGUGUCCAGCUGAUCUAUCUAUCUCAGCACUAUUAUUACCAAAUCAAUUACCAGCUAGAGAUUAAUCCGAACACGUACGUGGCGCCCGAUCUAGAGCCGUAUAUAUACGUACGCUAAUAAUUAGCUGGCCAAUGAGAGAAAAUAAUAUAUAUGGUCAAUAUAUAGGAGAGGAUAAACAUCACGUUGUUAUCUCCCAUGAAAGUUUUCUUCUUCUUAUUCUCGUCUAUCUUCUUGAGAUGAACUACUUAUUCAGAGUGUACAGCUAGUUCACUACUUUGUCUGCAGCUAGCUUUCCUAAGAGAUCAAAAGGGUUUCCAAGUGCAUGUCACGAUAAUUAAAAGGUGGCCACCAUGCAUGGUUCAUCUUUCGAUCGAGAUCGAGUUCUAUAAAUUGACCUGUCAAUGGUAUGUCUGCCAGUAGCUAGCUCGAGGUUAAUCUAUUCGAUACAUAUUCCAUCCGUUUCUAAAUAUUUGACACAGUUGAUUUUUUAAACAUGUUUGACCGUUCAUCUUAUUUAAAAAUUUAAGUAUUUAUUAAUUCUUUUCCUAUUUGAUUCAUUGUUAAAUAAUAUACCUUUUAUGUAUACAUAUAGUUUUACAUAUUUUACAAAAGUUUUUGAAUAAGAUGAACAGUUAAACAUGUUUUAAAAAGUCAACGGCGUCAAAUAUUUAGGAAAGGGGAGUAUAUAUUUUAUUUGAAACACAUGUUAAUUGUUUUGUCGUACGUCCUCUCUCAACGUAUUACUACUGGUCAGUUGGUUUGUUCUUAUCGUCUAAUUUUAGAUCGAACCGGCCGGGUAGUCUGUCCUUUUACGGCAGUCAUUUGGUCAAGUCAUCCGUGUACAUGCAUAUAUGUCGUCGCAGCCGAUCAAAGCUAGAACGCCACAUAAUAAAAUCAUAAUCAACUAUAUAUAUGGUGGUUAAUCAUAUAUACACGUGGAUUUUCCUUGUUUAAUUGUCGUCUUGUGCAAAGUGCAAUGGGCUAUCAGCAAGUUGCAUUUUUUUUAUUGGCAGAUGAUUGCAAUAUGGCAGCACAUAUACAUAAAUGAUAAGCAAAACCUGCAGGGUGUGGAAGACAAUCAUUUGGAGCAUAAACAAUAAGUACGUAUAUAAUUAUAAAUAUUUAAAUACAUGCAUAUUAUUGCUGGAGAAGAGAAACGGUCUUUAUAUCAACGUCUACUUUGAUGAAGAGACUCUAGGAUUGUUUAAUUAUUCCAUGGAAAAAAUAAAGGGGGAAAAAGAAAUGGCUAGCUAGACCGGUCGUUCCAUGCAUGUAGAGCUGCAUGAAUUGUGAGAUGGAUGAUCAUGAUCGUGGUGACCACGACAAAUUAAGCCAUCAAAAUCUUCUCUUUCCGUUGAGUGCAACAGCACUUCACUUGGGAGUAUAUAGCUAGCGUGCCGUGGUCGCAAGCUACGAUCGAGUCGAGUAUAUAUGAAGCUACCAGAGCUGCACUGCUGGUGGUCAAAGGCACCCGGCCGCCUCGUUCCUUAACUCUUGCAUGCAUCUAUAUAUGCAUGACUGCAUACAGAAAUAUGGUGGAUUAAUUCCUGAAAUUCUCCAUAGAAAAGAGAGGCAGAUCGAUGUUAAUAAGAUAAUUAAUCAACACGUACAAACUUAGCUUGUCUCGUAACUUAAUUUGUUCUCUUGUAUAUUUGACGGAGCGUGGGGCUCCUCACCGGGAGACCGCGCAGGCCCCCCUUUGCCGGUUCGGCCGGGGACUCAGGGAGAGAUUCUAAGCUCUCUGUAUGUGGAAGGCUCGCGAGACAGGAAACACACAAGACACGGGCGAUGUAUACAGGUUCGGGCCGCUGAGAAGCGUAAUACCCUACUCCUGUGUUUUGGGAGAUCUGUGUAUGAAGGAGCUACAAAGUAUCAGCCAGCCUCUCCCUUGUUCUGGGUUUCUAAUCUGGAAAAGUCCAGUCCCCCCUCUCAGUGGGCAAGGUCCUCCUUUUAUAUCUUAAGGGGAUACCACAUGCACCAUUUCUCUCUUUUUUGUGGGGACUUACCCCCCCUUUUCAUAAAUGGACGGAGAUUUGUAUAGUUGCCGUCCGAGUCACCUUCUGAUGAGACGGCCCACAACUACCUCCACUUUCGCCGGGAGCAGGUGCGACGUGGAAUCGUGGCUGUCUGCUGACGACAUGACCGGUAUCAGACCAGUCACGUCGGUCAUUCUUGUCCACCACGUGUCAACUUAGCAAUCUACAUGCUCGCCCUUCUUCACACAACAUCUUGCCUGUAAUGGUUAGGAUGAAGCCUGGCAUAUAUCUGACCAGGACUAACGUGCCAUCUCUGGGAGGUAACACGCUAGCUCCAGCUGGGGACGAGCGCCUAGAAGCCCUCGUCCUGACGGGAUGGGGCGAGGCGUGCGUCAGAUCGCCUGUCGCCACCUAACCCGCGAUCUGACCGGUCUGUGACUGGUCACAGACCGGAUAAACGAGUGCACUGCACUGCGUUACAUGCGGCGUGACACGCUCAGCCAAACCGCAAUAAAUGUGGUUAGGUGAGCCCCACUGUGCUCACCUAACCCAUACACGCGGAGCAAAAACCCACGAGGGGUCGGGGCGCCUCGGCCCUCGGGGCCGAGGGGGGUGCGGCCCGACCCCCUCGGGGGGACUAAGAGGAGGGCGAACGCAUCACCCUCGGGCCCGACGUCCCUCGGGGGUACCAGGCCACGUGUGCGAUUGUGUCUGCCUCAAACCUCUAGUCAUGAUACUCCUGAUCCCAUGUCACCGACAAUAUUAAUUUCUCUCAUCAGCUGAUUGAUCGAUGGUUCUGAAUUUCCUUUUUGAUCGAUCAAUAUUGUUAAUAUUUUCUCUCAAAGUUUUUCAUAACUAUUCGAGUGACAUACAAACAAUGAGAGAGGACAUUUCUUCGAAAGUUUAAAAUAUUUUCCCUAUUUCUUCAGACAACCAAACAGGUCGAUCGUCCUACAUAAACUCUCGAUCGCUAGUCGCUAUGCAUUUCUUCAGAGUAUAUUCGAUCGAGCAGGGAGGAGCCGUACGAUAAGGGGCAAGGAGAGAUCGAUAGGAGGGUAGGAAGCAUGCAUGUACCGGACUUGCUUGCACGUGGGGAGAAGAAGGCCACGUACGUACCACACGCGCGUACGCACGUACGCACGAAUAUAAUUAAUGUAGUAAUGUAUAAUCACACAUACAAUUAAUUAAGCAGGGGCCCGUACGUACGUGUGCUCCUCCUUAAUCUGCAUCUCCUAUAUAUGCAUGUCUCCUUCUUCUUCGAUCGAAUUAGCUACGUACUGCUGGUAGCUUAAUUAGCUAACUGCUUAAUUGUCCUGAUCAAUCGAAUUGCAGUCGUUAUGCAGCUUCUCUCUUUCUCCAAGCUAGCUUACACCAUUGGCCGGCUCCAACCUUACUUACUUCCUUUGACCCAAUGCAAGUCGAUUUCUGCAUGCACGGGCGCGUGUGUACAGAUGCUGCGUACUACAGCUUCAAUAUUCAGUGGCCGAAAAGAAGAAAUAUGUACAUGGAGAGUGAAAGUUAGCUACUAGUAGUUGGUAGGUACUGUAUGCGUAUUCAUGCGUGGUCACUUAUUCCUUCCAAACUCAACGACCCAAUUAAGGACGACGCAUGGCCGAUUCAGAAAAUCGAUUUGUUGGUGUUAAAGUGUGUCUAUCGUUGUUAUAAUAUGUUAAUUAUACUUAGAUUAUGAUGUUAUAAUAUAUAGAUAAACAAUUUUGCUAUAGAUUUUAUCAGGGGCGGAGGCAGGCCUAGUGCAGCUAGGGCUUGAGCCCUAGGCCUGCCUCCAAAAACUUGCUUAAAUUUUGUUGAUUCACCAUGUAAUUUUUUUAGAAAACUAAUACUCCAUUAAUCGAGCCCUAACUUAGCUCUAGUCUUACACUGGUGGAGAAACCAUCUUUGGUCGGUUGGCCAAAUUCCACAAUAGUCCCAGUUCUAAUAAAAACCGGGACUAAAAAGCAUCUUUAGUCCCGGUUGAAAAGUUGAGGUGUACUUUUUUAUCUUUAAUCCCGGUUGGUGUGUUACCAACCGGGACUAAAGAUCAUUUUUAGUCCCGGUUCAAAAAGUUGUCGGGUUCCAGACAGAUCCCCAUUAUUUUUACUCCCGGUUGGUAUAAAUAACCGGGACUAAAAAUAGAUCUUUAGUCCCGGUUGUUUAUACCAACCGGGAGCAAAGACUAUCCCGAGAGCCGCGCGCGAUCUCCUCUCGAUCUCCUCCCCUCUCAUUAAUAUCUCCUUCACCCCCUCUUCCUCUCCCCUUCAUCCCCUUCCUCUCCACUUCCCCUGCCGUUCCUCCCCUUCCCCUCGAUCUGGAGCGGCGGCCGGCCGGGCGGUAGCGGCGGCACCAGGCAGGAGCGGCGGCGCCCGACGCGAGCGGCGGCGGUGGCCGGGCGGGCGGGCGCGGCGGCAAGCCGGGCGGGAGCCGUGGCGGCGGCCGGGCGGGCGGGCCUGGCGGCAAGCCGGGCGGUAGCAGCGGCGCCCGGCAGGAGCCGCGGCGGCGGGCGGGCGUGGCGGCCGAGCUGGCGCAGACGCCGAGAGGACGGGGACCGGGAGGCCGGCGGCGCCCUCCCAUCUGCUGCCGAUUUUUUUUUUUGAUUUUGUGUUUCAUUGGAUUUGAUCUGUGAUGUAUGUGAUAUUGGAUCUGAUCUGGGAUGUAUUUGAGUUGUGAUGCAUUUCUUUUAGGAUUUGUGAUGUAUUUUUCGUUUGAGAUUUGGUGAUGUGAUGUAUUUGUGAUCUGUGAUGCAUUUCUUUGCAAUAUGUGAUGUAUUUCUUCCCAAAUCUGUGAUGCUUGUGGAUGAUUUGGGAUAUUUAGGGAGCAAAUCGAUUGAGCAAUGAAACAACAACAAAAAAAAAAAAAGAAUCAACCGGGACUGCUCCACCAUUUUUAGUCCCGGUUGGUAAUACCAACCGGGAAUAAAGAUGGAUUUUUAGUCCCGGUUAUUUCACCCGGGACUAAAGAUGGGUAUCUUUAGUCCCGGAUUCGUACUCCCGGUUGUAUAACCGGGACUAUAGGGGGGUUUCUAACCGGGAGUAAAGCCCCUUUCUCUACCAGUGUUAUAUAAUUUCUGGCUCCGCCACUAGAUUUUAUCGAGAGUCAUCGGUCCUUAUACUAUAGAUCCGCUCCACGCAUGCAAGACAAACUGGCCGAAGUACGUAGGUACUUCUCAUCAUUAGUACUAAUGGCUAGUGUACUUGUGAUUCAGUUUUGCAGUAUCUGUUAUCUGUAUACUGUAGAUCUCGAUCCGGUCCAAUCAUUUUCAAGCUAGGUUCUAGCUGAUACGCCAGGUCAUGUUGUUGAAUUCAGUAAUCAAUCGAGACAAAUUAAUCAUCGAUAAUUAUUUUUUUAUUUCACCAAUUCGUGUGGCUGCUAGCUGAUGAAACCAGCAAAUUAAAGAAAAUCGGAAUUAAUGGUCAAGAGAUGCUAGCACUAGGUUAGCUAGCUACUAUCAGCUACCAGUAUGCAGGAGAUUGUGUGGUCGUCGUCGUCGUCACAUUAAGUCAUUAAUUCGACCGGUUUUCUAGAUCAUGUAAUAUGCGGAGUAAUAUAUACAUCUGCGCCGCCAUAUAUCCACAUCGAAUGACCCCUUUAAUUUAUUCUCAUCCAUCUCAGCAGUAGCAGCUAGCAUCGAUUAUAUAUAUAUGUAUCUAUGUAUCCAUUUUCUUUUGCCUAGCUAGCUCUCUCGUCCCAUCAUAUAUAUAUGUAUGGCGCGGCAAUCAGCAGCAUGGGCUUCUACCUAAUUGACUGAAAAAGUGAAGUUAUUUUUGUUAUCCUCUUCUUCUUAUUAUUAUUCCGAUCGAUAUAUGCACAGCAUCUCUGUAUACAAAUACAUAUAUAAAUGGAUGACGUUUGAAAGGAAUAAAAGGCUAGGAAAAAAAAGGCAUGCAACUCACAUACUCCAGCACUUGAUAUAUAUCAAUAAUGGAUCAGAUAAGGCCACAGUUGCUGCUUUGAUCCACUUGAGCUUAGCUAGCUUUUGCUGAUGAUCACAAUUAGUAAUUGCCGUCAUCCACAUCGGUGUCAGGUUUUGGCAAGCUAGUAGAUAGUGGAGUACUCCGUACUCCAAAUAAAGGAUGAGCUUAGCUAGCUUAAUUACCUAGAGAGAUCGCCGUCUCCGUCGUCGUCGUCGAGAGGAGGCAUGACAUGAGCGAGAGCUGUACACAUGUGUGCCAGUAGUUGCAGGUCGAUGUAAUUAAGCGAUGGAUGAGAUGCAUAUGUACAGAGCUACAGCUACAGGUGGCGGCGCGCGCACGGCGACGCGUGUGGCGACGAGAGGGACAAGGCGAGGCGUGCUACGACUAAUUUAACCACUGCACGCCGCGCCAAAAGUUUAAAACCCCAGCCAAUGCGCGCAAGGGCUUCUUCGCGACGGCGACGGCCAUUGCGUUCGUGCAUGCACCUGGCUGAUCCGACGACCUAUCAGAGAUUCUCGCCGCCCCGGCCGGACGGAUCGAUGACGAGCUAGCUAGCUAUAGCUUAGUGUGUCGCUGUUAACUUGAUGCAUGCUGAAUUAGUUAGUUCAGUUCGCGCCGUUUCUAUCUUAUCUAUGGCCAAAGUACAGGUUGUUCCUCGUUGAUGCAAUCUACAUCAUAUCGAUCCAUGGUCUUUUGUGUACUUACUUGGAUUAAUUAAUUAUGUUUCACUCGUUUUGUGAACACCCGCUAUUACUAUACACACACACACAAUAGUACUACUAUGCCCUUGUUUUCAAAUCACCUCCGUGACUUGUUUCAUCUUCUUUUAAUCUUUAUCUUUUUUGUCAACUAAUUAAUUAAUCGCUGCAUUUCGGGGUUUCGUGUGCUGAAUCAAAUAGAUCUUACUCCCUCCGUCACAAAAUAUAAGUAUUUUUAGAAUAGUGACAAGUCUAACAUUUUUUUAACAUUUUUUACUAGAUUUAUUAUUAAAUAAACUAUCAUAAUAUUCAACUCUUUUUAUUUAAAACAUCUUUUUUGAAUACUGUUGGUCAAAGUAGCAUAUUUAGAACGGAGGGAGUACCAUAUAUUGAUCGUUAAUUGGUUGGCUUAUAAUCCUACGUUUGAGUCUUUGAAAGAUCGAUGAAUAUGAACGAAAGGGUUGCCAAUUGUCACGUACGCGUGUUUGGUGUUCUGAAGACGCAGCUGAUCUCAAACUGCAGUGCACGUGUCUGCUUGACUUAAAUCUCAGCUAAUUUUGGUCAGACCACGACCACGUUCCGAUUAAGUUCACACGUAGUACCGCUUGAUGACAAUUAAUAUUCCCUCAAUAAAAUGGAUGGCAACCUAACUUCAAACAGUUAGUGGAGUAUAUACCACUCCGUUCCAAACCAGAGCUGUUUUGAAAUGAGUGCAUGCACACUUAUUUCACACACUUCCAUCUGAAAGUUUACAUUUAGACGAAGAAAAAAAAUCAUAUUUAUUUUCUCGGUGUCAUGGCGAUGAGAGAGGUUCAAAUUCGUACAAGUUUUCUUCAAAAUUUGAUAUAUAAUUAUUCGAACUUAACAAAUUAACCCUUCUUAAUUUCAACCAAGCUCAAUAAAGUCUAUAAUUGUCCUAGGUCCAAACCCAAAACAUGGGUAAGUAGUAACUAACAUGUAGGCCUAACCUACUAGGGGAACAAAAUAGUAGAGUAAGGAGGGACAUCGAAAAAGAUGAUCUAAAUAGGAUGUUUCGCCUUUUAUUUUGACUAGUAACAUAUCUUGCAUACCAAUAAGCACGCACGAUUGGUUUGGGCGUGUUGUAUGGGCUCAUAUGUGGCUGAUGAUAGGUUGGGAGUUCGAAUCAAGAUCCAACCGCUCAUGGAUGGUGGGAGAACAGGAAGGAGAACAACUUCAUUAUUUAAGUAAUAGAGGAAAGUCAGUUAUGGAUGACAGUUUUUCCAUAAAGUUAUAUGACAACCUCAAUAACCAUUGUGGCCAUGGCCGCUUCCCUAAAGCCUCUUCUCCUGCCACUGGUGCCACAAGAGCAUCAGCAUUUUCACUAUUGUCUUAGUGGAUGAUGUGCUCUGUUCCCACACAAAACUAUGAGCUAAGCAAUCCUAAGAACUAACAACAAAUCAUUGGUAGGACGAACAUCGACAACAAUAGUUGGAUAGGUGAAGUGAAGGAUAAGUUGUGAUGACCCGGCGGUGGUUGUUGGUGGUAAAAAAAAUAUGAUAUAGUGAGAUGCCACGGAUUUAAAGUCUUGUAUAUGACUUAGAUGUUUGUCUUUGACUUCUACGUUCUUCCAUGUUAAGAACUUUAUGGGAGGAGGAAGAAGAACAACAAGCUUAUACUUUAGUAACUUUGUAAUAUCGGAAUAAUUUAUUAGUCUAUGACCCAAGUUAAUAAGAAACAAGGCGAUUCUCAUUUUUGUCAGGUCUCAUGAAGGUCAAAGAUACCUAGAUAUGGGUUCUUGGAUUAUAAAUAAUGGGAAACAAAUAAGGUUCUGGAAAGAUAAAUGGCUAGGAAACUUGGCUUUUAAAGACAAAUAUCCAUCUUUAUACUCUAUUGUCCGAAGGAAAAGUUCUACUAUUGCUAAUGUUAUGAGAUCUGUUCCACUCAAUGUUUCCUUUAGGAGAUCAUUAGUUGGUCAGAAUCUUGCAUAUUGGCAUGAAUUGUGUGCUUAUAUUGUACAUAUUCAAUUGAAUCAAUCCUCUGAUAGCUUUAGAUAGAAUUAUCAUCAGAAUGGAAUAUUUUCUAUUAGGUCGAUGUAUCUAGCUUUAACUAAUAAUGGUUAUAUUGAGAUAAACAAGAUUAUUUGGAAGCUUAAGAUGCCACUUAAGAUUAAGAUUUUUAUGUGGUACUUGUUUAAAGGGGUUGUGCUAACCAAGGAUAAUUUGGCAAGACGAAAUUGGAAUGGCAAUUUAAGAUUUUGUUUUUGUAUGAAAAAUGAGACUAUGCAACAUCUUUUUAUAGAGUGUCAUUAUGCAAAAUUUGUUUGGAGAGCAGUACAGUUCUCUCUUGGUUUAUACCUUCCUACUACCAUAUCUAAUAUGUUUGAUGGUUGGCUCUUGGGGGUAGACAAGAAGAAGAGUAAACUCAUACUUGUAGGAGCUUCUGCCAUAUGUUGGUCUCUGCGGUUGACUAGGAAUGAUAUGGUUUUUGACAAAUCACCAUCUAUCUCAUAUAUGCAGGUGAUUUUCAGGGCAACAUAUUGGCUCCGAUUUUGGGCACAGCUGCAAAUGUGUGAAGAUGAUCGAGAGCUUAUGAAGGUUGCAUGUCGUAGGCUUGAGACAACGGUCAUGCAACUCCUUGCAAACUAUGGAUGAAGAUUCACAGAUAGACUUGAAUAAAUGUGCUCUCCUUAUCUUAGUUUGAUCUUUUAUUUCGUUGGGUGUGUUUAAUUCAUUUGAACUACACUCAGUGUUUGGGUGUUACUUUUAUAAUAAUUGGCUAUAGCUCUGAUGAGCAAAGGCCGGGAUGUUUUAUUCUAUUAUUGUAGCGCCCGUUCCGUCGUGGCGCCUAGCGGAAAAAUUAUCUCUUAAAAACCCUAAUUGCGAAAUUUGUUUCUUUGCUUGUUGUCUAGUGUUCGUGCCAUCUCAAGAUCUCAAUCCCCGAUCUAUCGUCGAGUCCAAUUCCGAAUCCAAUCCUUCCAAAUCAAAUUCCUCCGCAAAAGUCUAUUUUGCCUCCCCCGGGGGUCGAUGGGCCGAUUUCCUCCCGGCCCAUCUCCCCCUCUCCCCCGGCCCUCCCUCUCCCGGGCGCUCUCUCUCUCUCUCUCUCUCUCUCUCUCUCUCUCUCUCUCUCUCUCUCUAUCUCUUUCUCUCUCUCUCGCCCUCUCCCCUCCCCGGUGCGCUCCCUCUCCCCCUCUCCCUCCGUUCCGCCCGCGCGCCGCGCGCGCGUGCACGGGAGUCGCCCGCGCCGAGCGCCCCCUCCCCUCGCUCCCCUUCUCCCCAUCCCUGGCGAGCUUCCCGCUCGCAAAGCCAGCCCCCGCGCGCCGUGGUUCGCGCGCGCGCCCGCGUGGUCGUCUGCGCCGUCCGCGUGGUUGCCGUCCGGCCCCGCUGCCCUGCCGCGUCUGUCGCCCGUGUCGUCGCGCAGCUCCAAACCGCCCGCCGUCAUCGCCGUCGUCACCGCCCGGCCCCCGCCACUCCGCGCGCAAGCCGCCAAGGGACGGAGGCAGCGUCCCUCCUCCCUCUGCCGCGUCGCCCCCGCUCCCCUCCUCCUUUUUCCCGAAUCGGCAAAAGGGCAAGCCCCUUUCUCCCUCUCCUUUUUCCCCUUUUCCCCCGCCGGCGUCAUCCUACCUGUCGCCGCUUUGGCCGCGACCGCCGAGCGCUAGCUCGCGCCCUUGACCGCGCAAGUCGGUUCCCAAACCGACAUUGCCGCCCAUUUAAACCCCAGCCUCCCUCCCUUCCUUUCCUCUCCCUUUCGUCUCCGCGCCAUUGCCGCCGCCCCCGUGCUCUGUUCGCCGUCGCCGUUCGUUGUUGCGCGUGUCGGAGGAGCCGGCACGAGCAAGGACGCGGAAGAGGACUUCGGCCGCGCCCUCUCCUUCCUCUUCCCCGGCCCGAGGCCGGAGAGAUUACUCCCGCGCCGUCGGCCUCUUGUCACAGCGCCCCGACCCGCAUGGUAGUGCCUCCCUCCGUUCUUCCUCCUCGCUCCAUCUCCUCCCCCUAGCUUUCGGUAGUAGCUCGAGUAGACUCCCCGUAGUUAGCCGGCGCCGCCCCGACCGUUGCCGUCGCUCGCCGCGUGCUCGCCGCCGUCACCGCUCGAGCUCCGUAGCACCCGCACGUCGCCAGCCUCGCUCGGUGUAGCUCCGUCCAAUCCGACGCUAGCAUCGAGUUCCCGAAACCGCGUAGAUGCUCUCACCGCCGGGAAUCGACCCCUCGUGGCCUCGCCGCCGUUUCCCUCUUCCCUCCCCGCCGGUUGUCGCCGCCGUGAUUCGCCGCCGUCAAGCUUCCUCCGGCAAAUCCGAGCCGUUGGCUCGUCUCCCCUCAUCACGAGCAACCGCCCGGUGUGCUAGCUUUUGCCCGUAUCGCCGUGGUUCGCUCCGCCGCUCGCCGCUGCCGCCCGCCGUCCAUUCGUGGCCGGGUCUUCGUCUACCUCCCGCCGGCCCGCGUGGCAGCCACGUAGGCGCCACGUCGGCGCCAGCUCAGCCUAGACCGGGUCGAGCCAACCCCGGUCAGUCCCUCCCCGUGCGCGCGUUCCACCGCGAGCCGUGAGGCUGCGCGUGGGCCCGCUGCAUCCGCGUCCACCGCGAACCGCGCGCGUGCACCGCGUCCCUCCCCCGCCCGCGCGCAUGAGCCGCGUACUCCCUCCGCACGGUGAGCCGAGCCGCUGACAAGCGGGUCCCACCCGGGACCGCGCAUGGUGAGCCCGGUCCACCGGCUCUCUCUCCUCCCUCCCCCGCGCGCGCGUCUUGGGCCGCUGUGGGCCGCCUUCUUGGGCCGGCCAGCCCGUUAAGCUCGGCCGAGCCGCCCUUUUUCUCGGGCCGCGCCCUAGCCGCCCGAGGGAAGUCUAUAUUCCCUCCCUCUCCCCUUUUCUUUUCUUUUUCUUUUCCAAAAAAAAGGGAUUUAAUUAAAUCCUUUUCCUUUAGACCAAAAAUCCAAUAAUCUUAGAAAUUCAAUAUCUUCCCAACCGUAAAUCCGUUUGACUCCGUUCAAAUUCCAAAAUUUCUCAAAUCUCGAGAUCUAUCUAAUGGCACGCUUAGAGUUCAUUAAUAGGGCUUUAUUUUCGCCGUUUGUUGAGUUGUCCCGUUUUGCGUAUAGUUUCGGAGCCCGAAGACCCGCAGUGCGAGGAUUUCGAGGAUCAAGCUCCAGAUCUCGAGCAAGGCAAGCCACCUUUGAACAUCUUGAGCCUAUAUUUGAAAUCUAAUUAUAUUGCUUGCAAAAUAUUAUGCAUUGAUAGGAUUGCACUUAAUCUGUUGUUCCGUCUGCAAGGCAGAUUGGUAGACCUACCUAACUUGUUGCAUUUGAUUCUUCCAUUGUUAAUUGCUAUACCAUGUCCCCUUGUAACCAUCCAGUUGCGCCUCGAUAUUCGUGCACCCUGUGCCAGUAUCGACGGUUGCCCUCAAACUUAAAAUCUGAGUAACAACUUGGGUAAAACUGGAGUUUUACAAAAUACUUGGAAAACCCGACACCUGGGUCGGUGCUUGCGAACUAAAUGAAUUUCCAAAACCGCGGACCGGGAAACGUACCGGGUGUACGGUUUCCCGCUCUCGCACUUAAGGACCGAUUCCUUGGAAUUUCAUCCAAACAUAAGACAAGUACGACCACAUGGGUGGAAUGGGACACCCCUGGCUGAGUAACUAGCUUAUCAGGGGAGCCUUGAUGCCGAGAGACAUGUGGAUUUGCCGGGGUGGUGUCGGGGAGGACCCCUGGGCUUCCUGGCACAGUAUGGUCUGGGACCUAACCUGUUGUUGGUCUGGGACCCCUCUCGUCGACAUAUGGUAAACCUGUGUCGGCUUUGGAAAUGCCUUGUCAUGAAAGCUUGGAGGUCUCCCGACGUGGCUGAUCCCCACGGGCUGGGUGAUCCGGGUUAGUAAUGUCGUGUGGGUAAAGUGUACCCCCUCUGCAGAGGUUAACAAACUGUUCGAACAGCCGUGCCCACGGUCAUGGGCGGAUGUGAGGUGAUUCCUAGCGUAGUUUGGUUUGACUACUGCUUGUGAAAUUGCUGUGUGAAAAGGGGUUCGGUGUUUGAAAAAUCUACAGCUGAUGGGAUCAGCUAGGCCCGGGUGGCCGUUUGAAAAGUUGUUGGCCCGGGUGGCCGUUGAAAAAGCUGUUGGCCGGGUGCCAACCUUGUUUAAAUUCUAAAGACUGAUACAUUGCACAUACUCCGACCGGACGAGACGCACUGUCUCAUCCGUGUCGUUUGAGAAGCACUCACUUAGUUGUUUCAGAAAAGAGUUCAAUUAAAAUUAAUUGCAAAAACACCAGCCUUUCCUUGAAGCCUGCAUUAAACACUUAUUUCCCAUGGCUUGCUGAGUACUCCCGUACUCACCCUUGCUCUAUAUAAAUAAUCCCCCCCAGUUGCUGAAGAAGAUGAAGCGGAUCCUGCUGAUGAGGAGUUCUUCCAGGAGCAAGCCGGCUAUGAUGAGUUUUAGGGUUUCGGCCUAGUUCCCAAGUCGCGCCUGUGUUGAUUGGUCCAAGUCCUGGCUUCCGCUUUCCUUUUGUAAUGCAGUUGUGAGCUCGGGAUCUGUCCGCAGCCCAGCAUGACUGUACAUCUACUCUAUAAUAAAGAGACCUCUGUUGCUGUGAUAUUCUGUCUCCCUGUGAUACCAGCACUGUUUCCUAGGACUGGUAUCGAUUAACAGGUUAAUUUGGAGCGUCACGGACUAGUUCCGGUCGGGACUAGUUCGGGGCGCGACAAUUAUCUUAAAAAAAAGGAAUUAGUUUCUCAUCAUAUUUUUUUCCUUCUACAGUGGCUCUCCUAUGACUUGUGUAGCUAAUAGUAUCCUUUGCGGUGAUUUACAACUCACACAUAUUAGCGAUGGUAUUAAUUAAAUUUUCUCCGAUCAUAAAAGUAUGCUCCAAACAUGUGCAUUGGUGGCCAUUCCAGUUAAACAGGUGAAGUGGAAAUCAUCCCAAUUAACAUACUUACUGUAGUGUCAUUUCUGAGUUUUUCCAAGGCAUAAUUGAGCGAGGAUAAUCCUGAUUUUAUAUAUAUAGCUAGCUUGCUUCGGUGUACCGCCGAGGCAAACCUCUUGAAGAGACAAAGAUUGCAGUUUCGGUGCAUGAAUAAUGGAUGUUAAUCUGUUAGAUAUGAUGAUCCAAUAAUAACGUACACCGAAACUGUGUAUGGUUCAAUUAUAGUUGAAAUGGAGCCCCACACACAAUAUAGUACUCCUUCCGUUUCUAAAUAUUUGACGCCGCUGACUUUUUAAAAUAUAUUUACUCAUUCAUCUUAUUCAAAAAAUUUAAGUAAUUAUUAAUUCUUUUCCUAUCAUUUGAUUUAUUGUUAAAUAUACUUAUAUAUAUACAUAUAGUUUUACAUAUUUCACAAAAGUUUUUGAAUAAAACGAAUGAUCGAACAUGUGUUAAAAAGUCAACGGUGUUAAAUAUUUAGAAAACGGAGAGAGUAUUGUAGCAAAGAGCCAAACAGUUGUAAUUUCUCUGGGAAUAAUCAAUGGAUGUGUGAAUGUCUACUUCAGUACUAUUCAGAGAUUUCUGGCCUUUCGAUCGAUAAUGACUAGCCAUGUGAGCCGACUGAUCCAAUUCAUCGUCUACAACUAGCUAGCGCCGGCCACUGCAGCUAAAUAGCUCCACGUGCAGGAUGUGACGUACUCCACAAAUAAUUGGUCUUCUCAUGCUCCUAUUUAAAUAAACAAUAAGUUUCUUUAGAGAGCACCCAAGAAUAUGCUUUAAUUGGCACUGAUAUUUAUUGAAAUGAUGAAUUAUUUACCGAAAAGUACCGGUGGUACGAUUAAAUCUCAUAUUGUGGAUUCAUGAUUUAUCAAUAUCCGUGUGCAAUUCACCUAUGAGAUUUAAAUUGUAAUGCACACGGAUAUUAUAUACUUACACACGAAUAAUGUUUUCCUUUUUUUUCCAAAAAAAAGAGCAGAUUAGUAAAAUUCUGUUUCUUACCUUUGACAUAAUCACGCGUAUCAUCUACUACAUCAUUUUUUAAUAUAUGACACCGUUCACUUUUUGAUAAGCGUUUGUCUAUUCAUCUUAUUUAUUUUUUUUGUAAAUAUAUAAAAAAAUAAGUUAUGCUUAACGAACAUAUAACGAUAAAUCAAGUCGCGAUAAAAUAAAUAAAUAAUAAGUUCAUAAUUUUUUAAAACAAAUAAAAUGAAUGAUUAAAUGUAUCUUUAAAAAGUCAAUGCUAUUAUAUAUUAAAAAGCUACAUAGGAGUAUCUAUCUACAUAUUUCUCCAGUCUUAUAAAAGACCAAUCUAGUAUUGGAUGUAGUAUAUGUAAUACAUUCUAGUCAUACGAAUCUAGAUAUACUUAUGUUCAGAUUUCGUUAUACUAGGAUGUGUCACGUUUAGUUUUAGUUUGUAUUUUAUGGGACGGAUGGAGUAUAUGAUAUGAUAGUAGUGUAUAUCUGUCCUAUAUUUAUGGGACAGAUGAAGUAUAUGAUAUGAUAGGAGUGUAUAUCUGCCCUAUAUAUGAUCGAUCGAUUCCCUGUAGCUGAUAACGAUCGAUGAAACUGUAUGCGAGAUAUCACAUGAGAUUGAUGAGCAGUGAGGACGGCUAGAGAUAGCUUAGCUUAGCUUAACUAGUUAGAUAUAGAUAGAUAGAUAUAGUUAGUUGCAGCUGGAGACGGAUGAGCAUGAGCAUAUGCGUUGCAACAUUGCUGACGCCAUAGACGACCACGCACGAGCCCAUGCCGAGUCAUGCCGGACGCGAGGAAUAACGAAUCACCCGAUUGGCCUUCCGAUUCUACCCCUGGUGACCCCGAAGAAUUACAAACAUUUGCCACUCCGCGCCACGUCACGCUAACUGACAAGGUCGCUCGUGCAUAUAAGUGGCCCUUCCCUCCGCUGCUCCGGAGGAUCGAUCGAUCGAUGAGCACUCGCUUUGAUUCGAUCAAUCGAUUGAUCGAGCUAUAGGUAGCCAAUUACAAGCUAAUUAAAGCAGUAACCGUAUUAGAUCGUCGAUGGAGAUGACGAUGUCGUCGGCGGCGACGUCGCUGCCGCCGGGGUUCCGGUUCCACCCGACGGACGAGGAGCUGAUCCUGCACUACCUCCGCAGCCGCGCCACCGCCGGGCAGUGCCCCGUCCCCAUCAUCGCCGACGUCGACAUCUACAAGUUCGAUCCAUGGGACCUGCCAUGUAAGCCUUCUUCCUCGAUCAUAUCGAUGGAUCGAUUGAGUUGGUCGUUCGGUCAAUUGCUACUGGUUAAUUAAUUGCAGCGAAGGCGGUGUACGGGGAGAGUGAGUGGUAUUUCUUCAGCCCGCGAGACCGCAAGUACCCCAACGGAAUCCGGCCGAACCGCGCCGCCGGGUCGGGGUACUGGAAGGCGACGGGAACCGACAAGCCCAUCCACGACAGCGCCACCGGCGAGAGCGUCGGCGUCAAGAAGGCCCUCGUCUUCUACCGCGGCCGCCCUCCCAAGGGCACCAAGACCAGCUGGAUCAUGCACGAGUACCGCCUCGCCGCCGACCCUCUCGCCGCCGCCGCAAACACCUACAAGCCCUCCUCCUCCUCCCGAUUCCGCAACGUCUCCAUGAGGGUAUGUACCUACUCAUACGCCAUCGCCAAUUCGCCAUGACCACCAUCUCUGAGCUUAACUACUAACUGCAUAUCCAUCCAUCUCCUCAUGCCACUUGCGUGCUCUCAUCCUGUUGCACCACUACUAAUUGAACUACUGUACUCUUCUUCUAGGAUAUUGUAAUUUAAUCAGAUGAUUGGACUGACGUACGCUUAUUAACUUUUUUUUAAUGAACUACUAGCAUCACUCAAUCAUUAAUUCACUCGCUACUGUUAGUACCACAUCAUGAAACCGUGGAUGGUACGUAACAAGAGAGAUACUCCUUUCUCUUUUCACUUGCUGUUAAUUUAAUUUAAUUUCAGAGUAUAAUAAUUAUACCGAGAGAAGAAUAGAGAUAUCCAUUAGCCUUGUCCUGGCGCCAUGCAUGCAUGUGUGGUUAUUAUCGAUUUAAAGUAUGUAGCUUUUGACAAUGAUAGGCAUGACAUUUUUGUGCUCAUCGAUCCAUCUGCUUAAUUACGUGCAGCUGGACGACUGGGUGCUCUGCCGGAUCUACAAGAAGUCCGGCCAGGCGUCGCCGAUGAUGCCGCCGCUCGCCGCCGACUACGACCACGACGAGCCGUCCGGAGUCCUUGACGACGCCUACAGCUUCUACGCGCCGCCGAUGAUCAGCACCACGCUCAUCCCCAAGCUCCCCAAGAUCCCCUCCAUCUCCGAGCUCUUCGACGAGCACGCGCUCGCCCAGAUCUUCGACGCCGCCGCCGACCCGCCGGCCGACCACCAUCAGCAUGCCCUCGCCGUCCACCCCUCCCUGAACCAGCUCCUCGGCGUCGGCGACAACUUCCUCGCGGAGUGCUACCCGUCGACGGCGUCCACGGCCACCGUUGCCGGCGGCAAGCGCAAGGCGAGCCCGGCCGGAGACUACGCCGGCGGCGGCCACACGCCGGCGAAGAGGCUCAACGGCUCAUGCUUCGACGUGGCGCCGCAGUCCGUGGUGGGCGGCUUGCAAGCGACGCCGUCGUCAGUCCUCGCCGGACUCAACCACCAGAUGCUUCCUCCUCAGCUAUUCUGAAUAUAUUCUUAACUAGCUUAAUUAAUGGCCAUGGAAAUCGAUCAAACGCAGUCGAUCGAAUUUACGGAUGCUACGUACUGGCAUGAACAAUCUUGCCGACGAUAUUAAGAUCGGAUGGAAGCAUGGACGACGAUGAUGAUUGGGGUACGGUAUAGAAUUAUUGUAGUAUUGAACAAUUAGGCAUUUGUAUGCGAUUUUUUCUCCUACGUAUUCAUUUCAGGCACAGUGCAAAAGCAAGCUGGAGCCUUGAUAGUACUUUACACCGUAGAGAGGGAAUGUUGUACAAUUAAAGAUUACUAGAUAUACAGAACAAUAAUACUUUACUGUAGCCAAUUGAUAUACUACUAGUAUACAGGAUUGUAGAAGAUAUCAAAUGCAAUAGAUUCUGGCUCUGAUCUGGGAAAUGGAAAUUGCAUGGAUGUGUUACUUCUUGGCUGAAGUAGGUGUAAUAUCAAUGGAGCAUGCAUGCAGUCUAACGGCAAACUUUCAUCUUCUGUUCUUAAAUUAGCAAAGAAGUUGUUUCCAAGUACUAUAAUCUAGUAUAAUCUAGGCUAGGCGGCUGUAGAUUGAAAAGGACGGAUUGGAUGGAUUAUGGAUAGAGCACAUAUAAAGGAGGAAUAGAUUUACUGGAAACAUACUUUUUCAGGAAGAGGCAAAGAUGCAGUCUGAGAGACUGAAACU
rnacentral:lncRNA from 1 species